GGUGGUGGGGGUGGUGGUGGGGGUGGGGGGUUCUCCCGAAGUAGUAUGAACCCUGACCUUGUUUUUCUUGAAUAUCAAGUGUACUUCUGUAUUUCUCAUCUUGGCGUCAGCCGUCAGUUAUUCCAUUUUGAGAAAGACACAAAACAAUGAAUCCUCACAUAGAUCAAUAGAACCUACACAAAUCAAACUUUUUAAUGAAAUUCAUUAUCGUCAUUAAUUACCUGCUGUAGAGUUUGUAUUUGAGUUGUGCACAAAAGGAGAAGAUCAAGUCCACAAGAGAUUCUCGGGUGAGUCAGAGGAUCCAAAGAUCGAGAAAGAAACAAACUUAAAAGCCUAAGCAUGUUUCAAUAUAAGUAAAGCACGUUACACCCAUCUUAGCCCGAAGUAGAAAUGUGUCGUUUUCUCGUAUGCGAGUGUUGAUCAAAACUAGGCUUGCAAUUUUGGCCCGAUUUUGGCUUUUAGUUUAUUCGAUUAUGGAUUCUAAAAUGAUCAGCAAUAUUAUAAAAUUAAUUCAUUUAUUGAUUUGGUUUACUACGACAGUCAGUUUGUGACGUAAGAAAAAAAAGACAAUCAGUCAGUUUGUUUAAUUUAAAAUAAACCAAUUUUAAAAUAUUUCGAACUGAUUUUUUUUUUUACUUUAAAAUACAUAUAUUAACCAAUGAGUUAAAUCUAGAUAAACAAAAGAACUAAGAGCAUGAUUGGUUUUCCCGCUACCAUCCGCAAACGCAGCUUUUGCGAUUGGUAGCGGUUGACAGCGUUUCGAAACAAUCAUACAAACCGCUACAAAUCGCUUCAAACCGCUCCGAACCUCUUAAAAUCAAAAGUUGGUUCCAGCUAGCGUUUGCGGUUGCGGGCGGUUGCGGGAGAAUAAUUUUUUUUUCUUUUUUUUUCAAAAACCAUAUAAAUAUAAAAAUAAAAAUAAAAAUAAAAUUUUUAAAAUGGAAUUAUAAAAAUACUAAAAUAUAUCUAUUAUAUUUUAAUUAAUAUUAUAAAAUUUUAAAAUAAAAAUAUUUUCUAUAAUUUAAAAAAUUUAAAACUAUAACUUUGAAAAUAUAAUUUACAUAUUUAUUAUAAUAUUAUGAUUUUUGAUAUUUUUAUAAUUAUAUAAAAUGUAAAUAUUGUUAAUUUAUUAUUUAACCGCUGCUGUAUUUGGUAGUUAACCAGUCAUAAGUAUCCCGCAAACGCACCAAUUUCUAACCGCAGAACCAGUCGUACAAAUCUCUUAAAACCGCUAGAAACCGCAACCNNNNNNNNNNNNNNNNNNNNNNNNNNNNNNNNNNNNNNNNNNNNNNNNNNNNNNNNNNNNNNNNNNNNNNNNNNNNNNNNNNNNNNNNNNNNNNNNNNNNNNNNNNNNNNNNNNNNNNNNNNNNNNNNNNNNNNNNNNNNNNNNNNNNNNNNNNNNNNNNNNNNNNNNNNNNNNNNNNNNNNNNNNNNNNNNNNNNNNNNNNNNNNNNNNNNNNNNNNNNNNNNNNNNNNNNNNNNNNNNNNNNNNNNNNNNNNNNNNNNNNNNNNNNNNNNNNNNNNNNNNNNNNNNNNNNNNNNNNNNNNNNNNNNNNNNNNNNNNNNNNNNNNNNNNNNNNNNNNNNNNNNNNNNNNNNNNNNNNNNNNNNNNNNNNNNNNNNNNNNNNNNNNNNNNNNNNNNNNNNNNNNNNNNNNNNNNNNNNNNNNNNNNNNNNNNNNNNNNNNNNNNNNNNNNNNNNNNNNNNNNNNNNNNNNNNNNNNNNNNNNNNNNNNNNNNNNNNNNNNNNNNNNNNNNNNNNNNNNNNNNNNNNNNNNNNNNNNNNNNNNNNNNNNNNNNNNNNNNNNNNNNNNNNNNNNNNNNNNNNNNNNNNNNNNNNNNNNNNNNNNNNNNNNNNNNNNNNNNNNNNNNNNNNNNNNNNNNNNNNNNNNNNNNNNNNNNNNNNNNNNNNNNNNNNNNNNNNNNNNNNNNNNNNNNNNNNNNNNNNNNNNNNNNNNNNNNNNNNNNNNNNNNNNNNNNNNNNNNNNNNNNNNNNNNNNNNNNNNNNNNNNNNNNNNNNNNNNNNNNNNNNNNNNNNNNNNNNNNNNNNNNNNNNNNNNNNNNNNNNNNNNNNNNNNNNNNNNNNNNNNNNNNNNNNNNNNNNNNNNNNNNNNNNNNNNNNNNNNNNNNNNNNNNNNNNNNNNNNNNNNNNNNNNNNNNNNNNNNNNNNNNNNNNNNNNNNNNNNNNNNNNNNNNNNNNNNNNNNNNNNNNNNNNNNNNNNNNNNNNNNNNNNNNNNNNNNNNNNNNNNNNNNNNNNNNNNNNNNNNNNNNNNNNNNNNNNNNNNNNNNNNNNNNNNNNNNNNNNNNNNNNNNNNNNNNNNNNNNNNNNNNNNNNNNNNNNNNNNNNNNNNNNNNNNNNNNNNNNNNNNNNNNNNNNNNNNNNNNNNNNNNNNNNNNNNNNNNNNNNNNNNNNNNNNNNNNNNNNNNNNNNNNNNNNNNNNNNNNNNNNNNNNNNNNNNNNNNNNNNNNNNNNNNNNNNNNNNNNNNNNNNNNNNNNNNNNNNNNNNNNNNNNNNNNNNNNNNNNNNNNNNNNNNNNNNNNNNNNNNNNNNNNNNNNNNNNNNNNNNNNNNNNNNNNNNNNNNNNNNNNNNNNNNNNNNNNNNNNNNNNNNNNNNNNNNNNNNNNNNNNNNNNNNNNNNNNNNNNNNNNNNNNNNNNNNNNNNNNNNNNNNNNNNNNNNNNNNNNNNNNNNNNNNNNNNNNNNNNNNNNNNNNNNNNNNNNNNNNNNNNNNNNNNNNNNNNNNNNNNNNNNNNNNNNNNNNNNNNNNNNNNNNNNNNNNNNNNNNNNNNNNNNNNNNNNNNNNNNNNNGAUCCUAGAGACCAUGCCUGCAAUGACUACUGGUCUUUACUAUGCACGGAUCCGUAUGGUCGAGGCAAAUGCCUCAGAGCUAUUCACUUUAUGGCAUAACCGGCUUGGCCAUCCCGGAACAGGAAUGAUGCGAAAAUUGAUGAUGAAUUCUCAAGGGCACACGUUCAAAGGAGUGAUCCCACGAAAUCUCACAUGUGCAGCAUGUGCACAAGGGAAACUCAUAACCAGGCCAUCACCAGCCAAGGUUAAUAAAGAAACCUUGAACUUUCUGGAAAGAAUCCAAGGGGACAUAUGCGGACCAAUACACCCACCAUGUGGGACGUUUAGAUAUUUCAUGGUCCUUAUUGAUGCAUCGACCAGAUGGUCGCAUGUAUGCCUAUUGUCCACUAGGAAUCUAGCCUUUGCACGGCUGCUUGCUCAGAUGAUAAGACUGAGAGCACAUUUUCCAGACUUUCCACUCAAGACUAUACGUCUAUUGAAUCGAUCUGUCUGAACAUGAAAAUACUUAAGGCCUUGAAACCUUAAACAUAAGUUGAUAGAAUGUAAGGAUUGAAAACCCUAGGAAUGCUUAAAUCGUUUUACAUGAAUCCGAAUAUGGUAUUGCAUUCACAACUGAUUAAAACAGGAUCGGCCAGCAUAUAGAAAACGUUUGAUCUUGAAUCUGAUUGCAUUAAAACUUGCAUGGCCGUGUGGCAUUAAUCUUUUCUAGUACAUGUAGAAUUGAAUUCUAGGAUUGAUCGCACCAUGGUAAAUUUAGAAUUUCAUAACCAAAAGUCCACGCGCGCCGUCGUCUUCCUCGAUCGCGGCGGAUUCGACCCCGAUCCAGCUCUCCCCCCUGUAACCGUCUCCGAAGACGUCUCCAGGUUCCCUUACAACUUCCCCGGCGGUCUCCGAUCCGCGAUCCGCGUGGCUCGCGUCGUCAAGGAGACGGUGGAUCGGGGGGAGGAUAACAAAGACGUGCGGUGGUUCGUUUUCGGGGAUGAUGACACUGUCUUCUUUGUGGAUAAUCUGGUGACGGUUUUGUCCAAGUAUGAUCAUAGGAAGUGGUGGUACGUUGGGAGUAACUCGGAGUUUUAUGAUCAGAACGUGAGGUACUCCUUUGAUAUGGCAUUUGGUGGCGGUGGAUUCGCUAUCAGUGCUUCGCUUGGGAAGGUUCUUGCUAAGGUUUUGGAUUCUUGUUUGAUGAGGUACUCUCACAUGUAUGGUAGUGACUCCAGGAUCUUCUCUUGUGUGGCUGAGCUUGGUGUUGCAUUGACUCACGAGCCUGGGUUUCAUCAGGUAAAACGAGAGUUCUCCUUAAAGUUCCAACUUUAAUGCUGAUUGCUGAACAAGAGAGGUUUCUAAAUUUGGCAACUUUAGCUCAAUUAACAAUGCAUUAGUUUACUUUCUUUAUUUGGUUGAUUUUGGGUAAAUGUAGUUGGUAUGUUUAUUCUUUAAUCUGGACGUUACUAUAGAUUUUGUUGUAACAAUGAUUGAGAUUGUCGAAAAGCUUUGAAUUUGAUUUAUUGGAAUUGACAAGAUGAUAGUUUAUACAGUAACAUCGAUGCGCUGAUUGCUUAACCGGGAGAGGUUUCUAAAUUUGGAAACCUCAGUGAACAAUGCAUUAGCUUACUUUCCUUAUUUGGUUGAUUUUGGAUAAGUGUAGUUAUGUCUGUUUCUUUUUUUUAGUAGCCUGCUACUAAGAGUUAAUCUGAAUCUUACUAUAAAUGUGCUCUUUUUCAUAGAUUGAUGUAAGAGGGAACCUAUUUGGACUGUUAUGUGCACACCCUUUAUCUCCACUGGUAUCACUUCAUCACUUGGACGCAGUUGACCCGUUCUUUCCGAAAACAAACCGGACAGAAUCGGUGGCUCGUCUCAUCAGGGCUGCGAGUUUUGAUUCAGCAAGGAUUUUGCAGCAGAGUGUGUGCUAUGAUUCUUCUAACACAGUGACUGUUUCAGUUGUGUGGGGUUACGCGGUUCAAGUUUACGAAGGCAAUAAACUCCUCCCGGAUCUCCUCACCGUGCAAAAGACCUUUUCUACAUGGAGGAGAGGGUCAGGGGUCCGAAGCAAUUAUAUGUUCAGCACAAGGGAUUAUCCCAGGGACCCAUGUGCGAGACCGCUUGUCUUUUUCUUGGAUGGUUUAGGAUCGGAUGGAACUGGAGGGACAUGGAGUAGCUAUGGCCUCCAUAGUGUCGGAAACUGCCGUAGAGCAGAAGCUGUUGAGGGACUACGGAACAUCCGAGUUCUGUCUCGUAAGCUGGAACUUAAUGGUGAACAGGUAUAGUUUGUAAAUACUCCUAAGCUUCUCAGUAGAGGAUCUUUGAUUUGGCCUGGAUUCACAUUUUUUUAAUUUUCUUUGAAAUAUAAAUGGCAGAUGAAUCCGCCUCGCCGCCAGUGUUGUGACAUCUCAUCGCCUUAUAACAAAUCAAUGGUCAUUAAUAUAAGACAAUGCAUGCCUGAUGAGCUAAUUGCCAUGAACACUUAGUGUUUUUUCUUGGCCAUUAGCUUUCAAGAAUCAGCUAACCAAAGCCUGAGCCUAUGAUUCGUCUGCUAUAAGACCAAUGGCAUAAUUGUAGGUAAGUUUCUUGUUGCUUCAUAGUUUUUGUGUACAACCAUAAUGCUCAAUAGAACUUAAUACCUUUUGUCUCGUAGCCUGUAGGUGGGUCACUUUUAUCUUCCUGUUCAAAUCUGGUCCAUACAUAAACUCCUACAGUUUCCCGACCAAGUUUGUUUCUUUGUAUCUCCCUUUGCAAAACUCCGAAGGAGAAGAAUAAGUCUUAGAUCCUUCCUCUGUAAAUAUGGUUGUGCAGGCGUUGAUGUCACUCGUACUUAGAUUCAAAGUUUUGAGUUUUUUUCUUUUUAAUAUUAUACCGGAGUUACUUUGCUCUUUGAAUGUUAAGCGCUUGUUUGCUCAUCAAUUUUGGAAGGUCUCAUUUUUUCAUACUAAACCUGUGAAUUGAGUUUGCCACUAAGAGAUUUCAAGAGAUCAUUUACUUUGGAAAUUGAGUUUACCAGUGAAGAAUGCGAAAAGUGAUGCCAGGGGAAUGAAGAAGGCUCUGAGAACAACAGCUACAAGAUCCAAAGAGCUUGUCUUUUAGCAUGUGUACAUGAAGCAAAAUCGAACAUAAUCCUCCACUCAAUUUUGUCUUUUAGCAUGUGUAUUACUGCAAUCCUCACAACAGCACCAAAGCAAAAACAAUUACUAAUGGGAUAAACUUAAUCAUAAACACAAUUGAUCAUCACAAAUGCAACUAGCUGAUCAUGACUUUUGAGGAAGACUUAAAGAAACUAUUUGGUCCAUAGCUCUUGAUUGGUGUUUUGUGUUGGUUUAAGUCUUUGAACCAUGUGCACAAGAAAAAAUUUGCACUCCCUCAAAGCCCAAAGCCGGCACUGAUAGGAAGCACAACAGAGAACCGAACUUAUUAAGACUAUUAUCUACGUUUGGGGUUUUGUUGCCUUGGAAGCUCGGUUACGGUCAAAGGAGGUAUUAGAGCGGGAAAAAAAAGAAGAGAAAUAUCGCCUUUCAUCCCCCCAGCCGACUCAGAGAAAGCUUUAGUUUUCGCGGUCAACCCACUAACCCGUGACGGGUCCGUCAACUGCGACAGCCUUAGUUGGGCUCAAACGCGGGCCAAGGCCCGUAAUGCAUCUCUACACGAAACUUCCUGUUUUUGUUGGUGAUGAAGUCAACGGUGGUGGUUAUACAAAAACCUCUUUAGUUCAUGAUCUAACACCAACAUCGAUGUGAUCUUCAUCUUGUCUCUACCAUCUCUAAUGGAUUCUGCUGCGUCUCCUUCAUCCCUUCCAUCCUCUGUGUCUCACAACUGGGAAUAUCGUGUCUUCCCGAGCUUCUGCGAGGAAGAAAUUAGCAGAGGCUUUUUCGGUUACUUCAAGAAAGAGUUUGAAAGAAAGGGAAUCAAACUAUUCAUUGACAGGAGGGAGUCUUUUGGUCCUGGGCUCAUAGAAGCUAUAAGAAGAUCGAGGAUAGCAAUUGUUAUUUUAUCGAAGCACUACGCUUCAUCAACUUUGCGUCUGGACGAGUUAGUGGAGAUCAUGAAAUGCAGGGAAGAGUGUUGGAUCAAUAAAAGGCAUUGGCCUUUAUUAUAUAAUGUGAAUACAAUGACAUUGGGCUUCUGAUGAUUUAAGCCCAAAAAUAUGUCAAGUAAAUGAAUGAUGGCUAUGGGAUUUGUCCCACAUCGGCCAGGAGAAGAGUAAUAGAGAUGUUUAUAUAUUGCCAAGCACUUGGUGUUGGUUAAACAGCUCAGAGGAAGAGAGAGUUCCCCACGCGCGCGCCGCCGUUCGGCCGGCUCGGCUCGGCUCGGGCUCGGGUGGAGGGUCUCUGGCCUGAUAAGAACUAUUUUUUUUGGACCAAGUUAAGCUCAAAAAACAGCAUACAAUUUUAUUUAAAACGACAAGUAGUUUGUCUAGAAAAUAAAAACGUCAUGCAUGUUAUCUUCUCGAAAGUUUUAAACGAGAUAAGAGAGAGUCUUGAGGAAGAAGUUUCGGAACUCAACUUCCCUCGAUCUCCGCGAGAUUCUCGUCCACGUGCAGCAGCUGUUGCGGGAAGUGGGUUGUCUCCGUCUCUUUAAAUAUCGCCUCUCAUCUUCAUUCAUUUCUUAACUUUUUUCACAGCAAAAUACCAGCAAAAACUCCUACGCGUAAGUCUAGAGAGUGUUUCGUAGAUUAUUAGUUCGUAGAGGUUCUUCACGAGUACUGCGUGAUAACCUUACAUGGUUUUAUCCUGGGACUCAUAUUCGUACUGAUCCGUCGCACUAACGGAGCGAAUAUUAAGAGUUAAGGAAAGAGAUUCGUCUCGACUCCAUGCCUUCGUUUCCAUUUCGGUUUUGAAUCGUCUAUUUUUUCCUUAACAUCGUAUUUAUAUUAUCGUUUAACUCGAACCGGUUUUACGGCUUCUACAAAGAGUUGGGUCAAAUAGUGGUUCCUUUUUUUUAUGAAGUGGGAGCUGCAGAUGUGAAGAAGCAGAGUGGAUAUUUUGGAUCUGUCUUUGAGAAAGCUUGUGUGGGGAGAUCAGUGGAGGACGUUGAGAAAUGGAAACGAGCUCUGAACGAACUGUCCUUUAUCUUUGGUUAUCUUUCAGGGAACUGGUUAGUCAUUUUGAUUCCUCCUAAAUUUUGUUCACAUGCCAAAGUAUAUGUGCAGAUUAAAAUCUAUCAACACUGCUCUAAUGAUGCGAUCUAGAAGAAUAAUCUAAUCUAUUAAUUUAGGAUCAUAUUUUUAUCUACUUACAAAAUUAGUUAAUAAUAAAUCAACUAUAAAUUUUAUUUUUUUGAUUAUAACAAAAACGGUUGAAAAAAAAUCUAACAAGAUCUUACCAAAAAAUUUAAAUAUUUUUAUAAAAUAACACAUUAGUUAAUUUUGUUAUUUGUAAUAUAAUAUUAUCAUAAAUCAGUGGUAACUAAAAUUUUAUUAUAAAAAAAAAGAAAAUAAAAAUUCUAUACUAUUUUUAUAAUUCUAUAAUUAUAUUUUGUAUUAUAUAAAAAUAGUGUCAUAUGAAUUAAAUAUGAUAAAUUAUAUUAAAUAGGUAAAUUAACAAUUUUUCUAUUUUUAAAUUGUUUCAUUUAAAUAAAUCAUGACUCAUCAUUAAAAUGGGAGAAAAUUCGUAAACUAUAUAAUAUUUUUAUACAAAAAUAGAUUUAUUAACAUAUGUUAAACUUUUAUGUAUACAACUAUAUAUUAUCUUUUUAUUUAUUUUUAAACUCUCAACAAUAUAUUGUUUAAAAAUGUAUAUACAAAAAUAUAAUAGUGUAUGAUAACCUUUAGUUCAUAUACUAUUUAAAAAAUAGGUUAUUAGAAAACUAUAAAAUUUUAGUAAUUCAUUUAAAAUAUUAAUGAAAAGUCAAAUUUUGACUAUAAAUUUAUGUUUUAUUAUAAUUAUAACAAAAUCUGUUGAGAAAAAUUUAGAAAAUAUUACCAAUUCAAAUAUUUUCUAUAAAAUAAUAUGUUAUUGUAGUAACAAAAAAAUAAAAAUUCAUAUAAUCUUCCAAACUCAAAAAUAGUUGUUUAAUUUUCCAAAGUUUAAUGACAAAAUAUAAAAUUUUAAAAAUAAAUAUUUUAACUCAAAAUGAUAAUUUUUCAAAUUUUAUGAAAGAUAAAAUCAUAGAUGAUAAAGAAUAUUUUUUUAAAUGCACCACGAAAAACCAAACUAUAUAUGUUGUAAAAAUUGAAAGCAAAUAAUUUUAAUUCUUAAUGAAAAAAACAUAAUAUCAUAACAUCCAAAAAAUAUCAUAUAUCAAUAAAAUUUACUAAAAUAAUAGGAUUGCAAUAUUUAAACAAAACAGUGUUUUUAUUUAUAAAUCCCGUAAAAUGCUAAAAAGAUAUAUGUUAAAGUAUAUAUUUUAAACAUAACAUGUAAAUAUAAGUUAUCUUAUACAUAUUUAUUUUCUAAAAUAUAAAUAAUUAAAUUUUAAAAAUUUAUUAUAUGCAAAAUGUAUAAAUUAAAGAAAAAACAUAUUUUAAAGGAGUUUCUCUAUUUGGUUAUUUUAGAUUGUUAUUUUAUGGAGGAAUUACAUGCUUACCACUUUCAUGGUAUUAUUAUUCAUCUUUACCACCACUAAAAGGAUAUUUUCAAAAUACAUUGUUCAUUGAGUGGCAAAAGACUCUUAUAUUCAUGUUCUCUAUAUAUGUAACAAAUAUUUAUUUAAAUAAAUAAAUAAUAUAAAAAUAUUUUUUUAUGUUUCCGAAUUAUAAUUUCUCAAAUUCAAACUUUUGUGUAAUUAAUUUUUUGGAAUUUUUUAAUUUUUUCAGAAUUCUUUUUUGAAAAUUGAAAAUUUAGUUUUAAACUAACUUUUUAAAAAAGAAUUUAUUUUUUAAGUAUUUAUUUAUAUAUUUAUUGGAAUCUUAAAUUUUAUAUUCCAAAAACCCUACCGCACCAUUCAACUUUAAACCUUAAGUCUAGAUUAGUUAAACCUUAGGAGUAUAAAUUUUUUUUACCCUUCAUUAAAAACGAGGGUAAAAGUGGUUAGCGUAAACAUGAAAAGUAGUAAUAUGAAUGUGAUAUUUGUGGUAAUUUCCAUUAUUUUAUUGUACCUAACUAGAAAAUAUAUUAGUAAGUAAUAAAAAUUAAUAACAAAGUAAAAUUUAUUAAACAAAUUAUUAUAUAUUAAUAAUGCCGAAUAAAAAUAUAAAAAAUAAUAUGAAAGAGUUACACAAUAUAUAACACUAAAAUAGAAAUUAUAUAUUUAAAAUAUUUGUAAUAAUAUCAAAUACAUUUAUAAAAUGAAAAAAAAAUCUGCAUGGACAUUCUCAUUAAGAGCACUAGUGUAGUAUAUUAUUUUAUGGAAUGUCUAAAGUAUUUGUUAGUCAAAUAUAUAUUAACAAGUUCUGAUCUCUCCCUUGUUAGGAAAAGUGAGGAUGAUAUGAUGGAAGAAGUUGCAAAUAAUCUUUCAAACAUGUUAAAUAAGGCUGCCCCAUCAACGGAUUUCGAUGGAUUUGUUGGAAUGGAGAAUCAUAUCACACAGAUAAGUUCACUGUUGUCAUUAGAUUUCGUUGAUGACGUGAGGAUGGUUGGAAUCUGGGGUCCUGCAGGAAUUGGGAAAACAACCGUAGCCCGAGCCUUAUAUUGGAAACUCUCUAAUAAUUUUGAAGUCACUGAUUUUAUGGAGAGUAUAAGGGGAAGUCCUGAGAACCAUCAUCCGUUCGUUUUGAAUUUACAAGAACAAUAUAGGAAAGUGCUUUUAGUUCUCGAUGAUGUACAUGAUUCAAAGCAGCUAAAAGCCAUGGCUGGCAAUCCUCAGUGGUUUGGCCGCGGAAGCAGGAUUAUCAUCACAACGAAUGAUAAGAAACUUUUGAAGGCACAUGGGAUCGACCAAAUAUACCAUGUGGAAUUUCCAUCAACAUUGGAAGCUCUUGAAAUCUUCUGUCUAUAUGCUUUUGAUCAAAAGUCUCCCUAUGAUGGUUUUGAGGAGCUCUCCAUGGAAAUUACAGGACUUGCCGGCAAUCUUCCUUUGGGUCUAAGUGUUUUUGGUUCAUAUCUACGAGGCAUGUCAAAAGGAGAGUGGAUGCAUGCACUUCCUAGACUUAGGACAAGUCUCGAUGCAAACACUGAGAAAGCAUUAAGGUGCGACUAUGAGACAUUGUGUGAUAAAGAAAAAGCUUUAUUUCUCCAUAUAGCAUGUUUUUUCAAAGGUGAGAGAACAAGCAAUCUGGGAGAGUAUUUUAGCAACUUGGACAUCAGGCGUGGGCUUCAAGUCUUAGCUGAAAAAUCUCUCAUAUCUAUAGACAAUGGGGCACGAUUAGUGAUGCACAAUUUACUAGAACUACUGGGUUUAGAAAUAUCCCGUAAAGAAUACAUAGAUGAGAAUAGGAGACGUGCUCGGGAGAUUGGUGAUGUCCUCGCCGAUGAUACAGUAAGUUUUUACAAUCUCCUCGCCUUGCUCAUUUGAUAAUUCUCUCACAAGUUUCUGUGUAUUGAGAACUUAGAUGUAUUAGAUAUGGAAAGGGUUGUUAUGCCAAUGUCAUUAACCUACUUCUAGCUGAUACACUAGCUAUAUAUUGUAAUAUGUUCGCCUCUAAUAAGACUUACAUUCCACAAUCUAUAUAUUUUGGAUCUUUUUCAGGGAUAUGUAUCUGCUCGAGGCACAGAUCACGUCUUAACUGCAAUCAAGGACGAAAUAAGCAUUGACGAGAGAGCCAAUGAAAGGACACUUGACUCUUUACCGGCUCUUUCUCCUUUGCCUUCCAAUUGUACACACCAUGUCUUUGCUAGUUUUCGCGGGGUAGAUGUUCGUAAAAGUUUCCUCCGUCACAUGCUAAUGGUGCUCAGAAACAAAGGAAUCACCCUAUUCACUGAUAUUGAAAUCGAGACGGGCACAUCGAUUGUUCAUGAACUCAAAGAAGCUAUACACCGAUCGAGGAUCUCAAUUAUCCUAAUAUCAAAUAAGUAUGCUUCUUCAACGUGGUGUCUGGACGAGUAGGUGGAGAUCAUGAAGUGUAGGAAAAAGUUGAGUCAAACAGUGAUUCCCAUUUUUUAUGAAGUGGAACCAUCCGAUGUGAAGUGUCAGAGGGGAUACUUUGGAUCUCUCUUUGAUAAAACUUGUGUGGGGAGAUCAGUGGAAGACGUUGAGAAAUGGAAACGAGCUCUGGACGAAGUGUCCAAUAUCUUUCGUUAUGUUUCAAGGAGCUGGUUAGUCAUUUUUAUGUCUUAAUCAUUUUGGCACGUCAUUGUAUAUUUGUAGUGGCUUUUUUCAUGACUUUCUUUUUGGUUUGAUAUUAUUUUUUUCUAGGGAAAUGGAAGAAAUUAUCGAAAAAGUUGCUAACAAUCUUUCAGACUUGUUAUAUGAGGAUGUACCAUCAGGGGAUUUUGACGGAUUAGUUGGGAUGGAGAAUCAUAUCAUGCAGAUAAGUUCAUUGUUGUCACUAGAUUCCGAUGACGUGAGGAUGGUUGGAAUCUGGGGUCCUUCAGGAAUUGGAAAAACGACCACCGCCCGAGCUUUAUAUAGGAAGCUCUCUAGUAAUUUCACACACACUGCUUUCAUGGAGAGCAUAAAAGCAAUUCGUGAAGAAAUACACACUGACGACCAUGCCUACAUGUUGUAUUUACAAGAAAAACUUUUGUGUCAAACCUUCAACCAUAUGGGUUUGGAGAUACAUCACUUGGGAGUGGCGGAAAAAAGGCUGAAGGAUAAGAAAGUGCUUGUCGUUCUCGAUGAUGUAGAUGAUUUAAAGCAGCUAAAAGCCAUGGCUAAAAAGACUCAGUGGUUUGGCAAUGGAAGCAGGAUUAUCAUCACAACAACUGAUAAGAAACUUUUGAAGGCACAUGGGAUCAAUGAUAUUUACCACGUGGAGUUUCCAUGUGCAUCUGAUGCUCUUGAAAUCCUAUGUCUACAUGCUUUUGGUCAAAAGUCCCCAUAUCUUGGUUUUGAGGAGCUCGCCAUGGAUGUUACACAACUUGCCGGUGAUCUUCCGUUGGGUCUAAGUGUUUUUGGUUCAUAUCUGCGAGGAAGGUCGGAAGAAGAGUGGACAGCUGCACUUCCUAGAUUUAGGACAAGUCUCGUGCCAGAACUUAAGGAUAUAUUAAGGUGCGACUACGAGGCAUUAUGGGAUAAAGACAAAUAUUUAUUCCUUCAUAUAGCAUGUUUUUUCAAUGGUAAGAAAACUACCAACAUGGUAAAGCAUCUUAGCAACUUGGACGUCACCCACGGGCUUCAGAUUUUGACAGAAAAAUCUCUCAUAUCUAUAGACAAAGAUGGACGCUUGGUGAUGCAUAGUUUGCUUGAACAACUAGGUAAAGAAAUUGCCCACAAAGAAUACAGAGAUGAGUAUGGGAGAUGUAAGUUCGUAGUGGAUGCUGGGGAGCUUGGUGACAGCAUUGAGGGGAGCACCUAUAAAGGGAUCGUUGAUCCUUUCAAGGGUCUUUCUCCGUUUCCUUCCCGUUGUUCACACCAAGUCUUCCCAAGUUUUUGUGGGGUAGAUGUCCGAAAAGCCUUCCUCACUCACACGCUGAAGGAGUUCAAAAACAAAGGAAUAACUGUAUUCACUGAUAAUAACGAUAUUAAAAGAAGCAUGUCGAUUGGUCCUGAGCUCAAAGAAGCUAUAAAAGGAUCGAGGGUCUCGAUUGUUAUAGUGUCAUAGGGGGUCUUCCUGAUGAAUACAAGACUGUUAAGGAUCAGAUUGAAGGACGUGACGUACCUCCUUCCAUCACUGAGAUUCAUGAGCGAUUGAUCAAUCAUGAACUACGCCUGUCAUCUCUCUCACCGCAACCUGGCUCCACCUUUCCUGUUACUGCAAACAUAGCACAACAACGCUCCAACAACAACCGCAACCCUCGCAACAACACAAGCAGCAACAACUAUCGUGGAGUCACCAACAAUUGGCAGGCUCAGUCCUACAACAACAAUAACCGGAACACAAGCAAAGGACCUCGGCCCUAUCUUGGACGCUGCCAAAUCUGUGGCACUCAAGGCCAUGGUGCGAAGCGUUGUCCUCAACUUCAGACGUUCCAAGCUGGUCAACAACUUCAGCCGAACUCACCCUUCACACCGUGGCAGCCACGAGCCAACCUGGCUGUCAAUGCUCCCUACAAUGCUGAGAGCUGGCUCCUAGACAGUGGAGCUACACACCAUCUCACAUCUGACCUGAACAACCUCUCUCUUCACCAGCAGUAUCACGGAGGAGAUGAUGUCACCAUUGCUGACAGCAGCAGCCUUCAAAUCACCCACACCGGUUCCCAUACUCUUCCCUCAAACUCUAGAAACUUACUGCUAAAUAAAAUCCUUUGUGUUCCAAAUGUUCAUCGCAACUUGAUAUCAGUAUAUAGACUGUGCAACACUAACAAUGUCUCCGUGGAAUUCUUCCCGACUGCUUUUCAGGUGAAGGAUCUCAGCACGGGGGGACGCUUGGUGAUGCAUAGUUUGCUUGAACAACUAGGUAAAGAAAUUACCCACAAAGAAUACAGAGAUGAGUAUGGGAGAUGUAAGUUCGUAGUGGAUGCUGGGGAGCUUGGUGACAGCAUUGAGGGGAGAACCUAUAAAGGGAUCGUUGAUCCUUUCAAGGGUCUUUCUCCGUUUCCUUCCCGUUGUUCACACCAAGUCUUCCCAAGUUUUUGUGGGGUAGAUGUCCGAAAAGCCUUCCUCCCUCACAUGCUGAAGGAGUUCAAAAACAAAGGAAUUACUGUAUUCACUGAUAAUAAAGAUAUUAAAAGAAGCAUGUCGAUUGGUCCUGAGCUCAAAGAAGCUAUAAAAGGAUCGAGGGUCUCCAUUGUUAUAGUGUCGAAGAAUUAUGCUUCUUCAACGUGGUGUCUGGACGAGUUGGUGUUGAUCAUUAAUUGUAGGGAAGAGUUGGGUCAAAUAGUAAUGACCAUGUUCUAUGACGUAGAACCAACCGAUGUGAAGAAGCAGACGGGAUAUUUUGGGUCUGUCUUUGAGUCAACUUGUGUGGGGAAAUCAGUGGAGGACGUAGAAAGAUGGAAACAAGCUCUGAAGGAAGUGGCCACGAUCGCGGGUUUUGAUUCAACCAUCUGGUUAGUCAUUUUGACUUCUCCUAAAUUCUUCUUUUUACAUGCCAAAGAUGUAUGUGUAGAUUAAACUAUGUUAAACCUACUCACAGAAAUUCCAUAAUUCAAUUUUUCAAAUGGUUCUUUGUUAUGAUGUGAUCUAUAUUAAGGAAACAAGUAUAACUCUAUUUAUGUAAAGGACUUCAUAGUCAUUAGCUUGUACAAAACCCUACAACCCUUGUACCUAUAUAUAACUCUCUGUACAUCUUUGUCUAAUAAUAAGAAUCAUAUUCUAUAUGGUAUCAGCAGCUUACGAUCUACACAAAACCUAAAUUUUUUUCCUAUUCAUCUCUUUCAAUGGCGGCUAACAACAGCUCAGUGUUAUUCACUGAACACAACAUCCCCAACACCCCAGGCCUCCUUACCAUCAACAUGGCUAAUGUCACUAAACUCACCUCUGAUAACUACUUGAUGUGGAGCAUCCAAAUACAGGCGCUUCUUGAUGGCUAUGGACUUGCAGGCCAUAUCGACGGAUCCCGUCCCAUACCACCACCACAACUCACGGUCAAUGAAGUGACUACUGAAAACCAAGACUAUGUCUUAUGGAAACGCCAAGAUCGCCUAAUCUUCAGUGCACUCAUCGGAGCUCUCACCACCAACCUUCAACCGCUUGUCUCCAGAGCAGUCACAGCCAUCGAGAUCUGGACGACACUAGCAAACACGUAUGCUAAACCUAGCCGUGGUCACAUCAAACAGCUGCGAGAUCAGGUACGGGCCUGGAAGAAGGAAGACAAGAAAAUUGACACAUACAUUCAAGGCUUGACGACAAGAUUCGAUCAACUUGCACUCCUAGGCAAGCCGUUUGAUCAUGAAGAUCAGAUUGAUGCGAUCUUAGGGGGUCUUCCUGAUGAAUACAAGACUGUUAAGGAUCAGAUUGAAGGACGUGACGUACCUCCUUCCAUCACUGAGAUUCAUGAGCGAUUGAUCAAUCAUGAACUACGCCUGUCAUCUCUCUCACCGCAACCUGGCUCCACCUUUCCUGUUACUGCAAACAUAGCACAACAACGCUCCAACAACAACCGCAACCCUCGCAACAACACAAGCAGCAACAACUAUCGUGGAGUCACCAACAAUUGGCAGGCUCAGUCCUACAACAACAAUAACCGGAACACAAGCAAAGGACCUCGGCCCUAUCUUGGACGCUGCCAAAUCUGUGGCACUCAAGGCCAUGGUGCGAAGCGUUGUCCUCAACUUCAGACGUUCCAAGCUGGUCAACAACUUCAGCCGAACUCACCCUUCACACCGUGGCAGCCACGAGCCAACCUGGCUGUCAAUGCUCCCUACAAUGCUGAGAGCUGGCUCCUAGACAGUGGAGCUACACACCAUCUCACAUCUGACCUGAACAACCUCUCUCUUCACCAGCAGUAUCACGGAGGAGAUGAUGUCACCAUUGCUGACGGCAGCAGCCUUCAAAUCACCCACACCGGUUCCCAUACUCUUCCCUCAAACUCUAGAAACUUACUGCUAAAUAAAAUCCUUUGUGUUCCAAAUGUUCAUCGCAACUUGAUAUCAGUAUAUAGACUGUGCAACACUAACAAUGUCUCCGUGGAAUUCUUCCCGACUGCUUUUCAGGUGAAGGAUCUCAGCACGGGGGUGCCGUUACUCCAAGGCAGCACUAAGCAGGGUCUGUACGAAUGGCCGAUCUCAAAGCUCCAAGCAGUUGCGAUGCUCACCUCCUCUCAACCUAAGGCGACUAUAUCUAAAUGGCACUUGAGACUCGGACAUCCGCAUACCUCUGUCCUAAACACUACUCUUCAGAAAUUUUCUUUACCUUUGUUGCAUUCAAACCAAAAAGAUUUCUCUUGUUCUGAUUGCCUUUCUAAUAAAAGCCAUAAACAACCUUUCUCAAACUCCACUAUUGUCUCAACAAAACCACUCGAAUACAUUUUCUCAGACCUCUGGUCAUCCCCAAUUCUCUCUAAAGACAACCAUAAAUACUAUCUCCUUCUCAUUGAUCACUACACCCGCUACUCAUGGUUGUACCCACUUAAAAGAAAAUCUGAAGUCAAGGAUAUCUUCAAAACCUUCAAGCCCUUGGUAGAGAACAAAUUCAAAACCAAAAUUGGAACGCUUUACUCUGAUAACGGUGGCCAAUAUAUUGCCAUGAGAUCCUACUUAGCUGAGCAAGGGAUCACACAUCUCACAUCUCCGCCGCAUACGCCGGAACAUAACGGCAUGUCUGAGCGCAAGCACAGACAUAUUGUCGAAACAGGCUUGACAUUACUCUCCACUGCGUCUGUUCCGAAAUCAUUGUGGCACUAUGCAUUCGCCACAGCUGUUUACUUGAUCAACAGGAUGCCCACGCCGGUUCUACACAAUCAAUCUCCAUAUCAGAAAUUGUUCCAGACAGAUCCGAACUAUGCGAAACUGAAAGUGUUUGGCUGCCUAUGCUUCCCAUGGUUGAGACCCUACACUCACCACAAGCUUGACGAUCGAUCGCAGCCUUGUGUCUUUGUCGGCUAUUCUACAUCACAAAGUGCCUACUAUUGUCUACAUAGACCAACGGGCAGAGUGUUUACUUCACGGCAUGUCAACUUUGUCGAAGAUCAGUUCCCGUACUCUGGUCCGCAACCAGUGCCUCAUAUCAUUCCGGAAACUACACAGGCUACUACGAGCUCUCCACCUCAUCAGGUUAUACCAGUAACGGCCCCGUGCUCGAUUCUUCACCAACCGCCAGCAGCACCUCCGCCGGCUCCGCCGCAAACGACAAACCCUCAGGUAUGUACUCCGUCUCUUCCAACUCCUUCUUCUCCGUCUGAUUCUUCUCACUCUGGACCCUCUGUCCAGCACAAUAAUGGGCUAAAUUCCCAAGCCCAGUCUCCAGCCCAACAAAACCAAGCCACAAUCCAAACACUCAACCCAACUCAAAUGGCCCAAGAGGCUACUACUCAACCUCCGACACAACCUACUCCACCAAACACGAACCCGACUUCUUCUUCUUCACAAACUCAACAAACAACCUCAGCACAAAAUACAGAAAAUCAACCACAGCCAGUCCCGCCUAUCACAUCACAAAAUCAACAUCCAAUGCAGACAAGAGGCAAGAACCGCAUCUCUAAACCAAACCAAAAAUUUACCCUUCUUGCUACCACAUCCAAACCAUUAACAUCAGAACCCACAACAAUUAUCCAGGCCUUGAAAGAUGAACAAUGGAGAAAGGCAGCAUCUACUGAGUAUGAUGCACACAUGAGAAACCAUACUUGGGAUCUCGUACCUGCCACACCAAAUCAAAAUUUAGUUGGAUGCAGAUGGAUCUUUACAACAAAAUAUCUACCGAAUGGAAAGGAAGAACGCAAGAAAGGACGUCUCGUCGCCAAAGGCUACAAUCAACGCUAUGGUGUUGAUUACGCAGAGACGUUCAGUCCGGUCAUCAAAACUACAACCAUACGACUUGUCCUUGACAUUGCGGUCCAUGGGAACUGGACCAUCAAACAAUUAGAUGUUAACAAUGCGUUUUUGCAGGGUGAGCUUCAAGAAGAAGUCUACAUGAUCCAGCCCCCUGGUUUCAUUGAUCGAGACAGACCAUCACAUGUGUGUAAGCUAAGAAAAGCAAUCUAUGGACUCAAGCAAGCUCCGCGUGCUUGGUACUUGGCAUUGAAACAACAUCUCACUUCCACUGGCUUCACCAACUCUCUCGCGGAUGCGUCUCUGUUCACGAGGAUUGUAAAUGGCAGCUACACUUACAUAUUGAUCUAUGUCGAUGACAUUAUUGUAACUGGAAACGACAAGCAGGUCAUCGAUCAAGUCCUUCACACGUUUGCGGAUCGCUUCUCCAUCAAGGAUCCGGUUGAUCUUCACUACUUUCUUGGCGUCGAAGCAACAAGAACAACAGAGGGUCUCCACUUAUGUCAGCGUAAAUACAUCAUUGAUCUGCUCAUCAAAACGAAGAUGCACGAUGCUAAACCCGUGACUACCCCAUUACCUACUUCACCGAAACUCACUCUUCAUGGUGGCACUCUUCUCAAAGACUUGACAGAAUACCGGUCAGUUGUCGGGAGUCUUCAGUACCUAGCGUUCACACGCCCAGACAUCUCUUAUGUUGUCAGUAGACUCUCUCAGUUCAUGCACCGCCCCCACGACAGAACAUUGGCAAGCAGCGAAGCGCGUCUUACGAUAUCUAGCAGGCACAACAACUCAUGGCAUCCUUCUCUCUCGACGGUCACCUCUCACACUUCAUGGGUUCUCCGACGCAGAUUGGGCUGGUGACACUGAUGACUACAUCUCCACAAAUGCAUACAUCAUCUACCUUGGAUCAAAUCCGGUUUCUUGGUCUUCGAAGAAGCAAAAUGGUGUUGCGAGAUCCUCAACAGAAGCAGAAUACAGGGCUGUUGCGAACACAGCUUCAGAAAUAUGGUGGCUCUGCUCUCUUCUCCAUGAACUUGGCAUCCGCAUUCCGAUAGUCCCUGUGAUCUAUUGUGAUAACAUAGGAGCAACCUAUCUUUGUACUAACCCUGUUUUCCAAUCCAGGAUGAAGCACAUUGCACUUGACUACCACUUCAUACGCCAGCUCAUUCAACUAGGUGCGCUAAGAGUCUCACAUGUCUCCACACACGACCAACUAGCCGACGCCUUGACAAAACCAUUAGCUCGCUCCAAGUUCAAUCAUGCUUGUUCCAAGAUUGGAGUGACUCAAGCCCCUCCAUCUUGCGGGGGUGUAUUAAGGAAACAAGUAUAACUCUAUUUAUGUAAAGGACUUCAUAGUCAUUAGCUUGUACAAAACCCUACAACCCUUGUACCUAUAUAUAACUCUCUGUACAUCUUUGUCUAAUAAUAAGAAUCAUAUUCUAUAAUCUAGAUAAUCCUGAAAUUAAUUCUCAUCAAGGGCACUAGUAUAGUAUAUUAUUUUAUUGGAUGUCUGUAGAGGUAAUAAUUAGCUAAUGUUUGUCAAGUAGAUAUCUUAACAAGUUUUGAUCUCUCCCUUGUUAGGAAAAAUGAAGCAGAAAUGAUCGAAAAUGUUGCUACCGAUAUUUCAAACAAGUUAAAUAUGGCUACGGCGUCAAGAGAUUUCGAUGGAUUAGUUGGGAUGGAGAAUCACAUCACACAGAUAAGUUCAAUGUUGUCAUUAGAUUCCAAUGACGUGAGGAUGGUUGGAAUCUUGGGUCCUGCAGGAAUUGGGAAAACGACCAUCGCCCGAGCCUUAUAUAACAAACUCUCUAAUAGUUUCACACACACUGCUUUUAUGGAGAGUAUAAGGGGAAGUGGUGAGAGAACACACAGUGACGAUUAUGCAUUCAUGUUGCAUUUACAAGAACAAUUUUUGUCUAAAACCUUCAACCACAAGGAUUUGAAGAUACAUCACUUGGGUGUGGCGGAAGAAAGGCUGAAAGACAAGAAAGUGCUUUUAGUUCUCGAUGAUGUAGUUGAUUUGAAGCAGCUAAAAGCCAUGGCUGGCAAUUCUCAGUGGUUUGGCUGCGGAAGCAGGAUUAUCAUGACGACAAAGGCUGCACGUCUUUUAGAAGCACAUGGUAUUGACCAUAUAUACCACGUGGGGCUUCCAUCAUUAGCACAAGCUUAUGAAAUCUUUUGUCUAUAUGCUUUUGGUCAGAAGUUCCCGUAUGAUGGUUAUGAGGACCUCGCCAUGGAAGUUACAGGACUUGCUGGUGAUCUACCUUUGGGUCUACGUGUUUUUGGUUCACAUCUGCGAGGAAUGUCCAAAGAAGAGUGGAUAGAGGCACUUCCUAGACUUAGGACAAGUCUCGAUGGAGACAUUGAAAAGGUUUUAAGGUUCAGCUACGAGGCCUUAUGCGAUAAAGAUAAAGAUUUGUUUCUUCAUAUAGCAUGUUUAUUUGAAGGUGAGAGCAUUAGCUACCUUGAAAAGUGUCUUGCACACAGUGACUUGGAUGUCAGGCACGGUCUUAAGGUCUUGGCUAAUAAUUCUCUCAUAUCUAUAACUGAAGAAGAACGCUUGGUGAUGCAUAAUUUGGUCGAACAACUCGGUAAAGAAAUCGUCCGCCAAGAACACUUAAACCCGUGACUACCCCAUUACCUACUUCACCGAAACUCACUCUUCAUGGUGGCACUCUUCUCAAAGACUUGACAGAAUACCGGUCAGUUGUCGGGAGUCUUCAGUACCUAGCGUUCACACGCCCAGACAUCUCUUAUGUUGUCAGUAGACUCUCUCAGUUCAUGCACCGCCCCCACGACAGAACAUUGGCAAGCAGCGAAGCGCGUCUUACGAUAUCUAGCAGGCACAACAACUCAUGGCAUCCUUCUCUCUCGACGGUCACCUCUCACACUUCAUGGGUUCUCCGACGCAGAUUGGGCUGGUGACACUGAUGACUACAUCUCCACAAAUGCAUACAUCAUCUACCUUGGAUCAAAUCCGGUUUCUUGGUCUUCGAAGAAGCAAAAUGGUGUUGCGAGAUCCUCAACAGAAGCAGAAUACAGGGCUGUUGCGAACACAGCUUCAGAAAUAUGGUGGCUCUGCUCUCUUCUCCAUGAACUUGGCAUCCGCAUUCCGAUAGUCCCUGUGAUCUAUUGUGAUAACAUAGGAGCAACCUAUCUUUGUACUAACCCUGUUUUCCAAUCCAGGAUGAAGCACAUUGCACUUGACUACCACUUCAUACGCCAGCUCAUUCAACUAGGUGCGCUAAGAGUCUCACAUGUCUCCACACACGACCAACUAGCCGACGCCUUGACAAAACCAUUAGCUCGCUCCAAGUUCAAUCAUGCUUGUUCCAAGAUUGGAGUGACUCAAGCCCCUCCAUCUUGCGGGGGUGUAUUAAGGAAACAAGUAUAACUCUAUUUAUGUAAAGGACUUCAUAGUCAUUAGCUUGUACAAAACCCUACAACCCUUGUACCUAUAUAUAACUCUCUGUACAUCUUUGUCUAAUAAUAAGAAUCAUAUUCUAUAAUCUAGAUAAUCCUGAAAUUAAUUCUCAUCAAGGGCACUAGUAUAGUAUAUUAUUUUAUUGGAUGUCUGUAGAGGUAAUAAUUAGCUAAUGUUUGUCAAGUAGAUAUCUUAACAAGUUUUGAUCUCUCCCUUGUUAGGAAAAAUGAAGCAGAAAUGAUCGAAAAUGUUGCUACCGAUAUUUCAAACAAGUUAAAUAUGGCUACGGCGUCAAGAGAUUUCGAUGGAUUAGUUGGGAUGGAGAAUCACAUCACACAGAUAAGUUCAAUGUUGUCAUUAGAUUCCAAUGACGUGAGGAUGGUUGGAAUCUUGGGUCCUGCAGGAAUUGGGAAAACGACCAUCGCCCGAGCCUUAUAUAACAAACUCUCUAAUAGUUUCACACACACUGCUUUUAUGGAGAGUAUAAGGGGAAGUGGUGAGAGAACACACAGUGACGAUUAUGCAUUCAUGUUGCAUUUACAAGAACAAUUUUUGUCUAAAACCUUCAACCACAAGGAUUUGAAGAUACAUCACUUGGGUGUGGCGGAAGAAAGGCUGAAAGACAAGAAAGUGCUUUUAGUUCUCGAUGAUGUAGUUGAUUUGAAGCAGCUAAAAGCCAUGGCUGGCAAUUCUCAGUGGUUUGGCUGCGGAAGCAGGAUUAUCAUGACGACAAAGGCUGCACGUCUUUUAGAAGCACAUGGUAUUGACCAUAUAUACCACGUGGGGCUUCCAUCAUUAGCACAAGCUUAUGAAAUCUUUUGUCUAUAUGCUUUUGGUCAGAAGUUCCCGUAUGAUGGUUAUGAGGACCUCGCCAUGGAAGUUACAGGACUUGCUGGUGAUCUACCUUUGGGUCUACGUGUUUUUGGUUCACAUCUGCGAGGAAUGUCCAAAGAAGAGUGGAUAGAGGCACUUCCUAGACUUAGGACAAGUCUCGAUGGAGACAUUGAAAAGGUUUUAAGGUUCAGCUACGAGGCCUUAUGCGAUAAAGAUAAAGAUUUGUUUCUUCAUAUAGCAUGUUUAUUUGAAGGUGAGAGCAUUAGCUACCUUGAAAAGUGUCUUGCACACAGUGACUUGGAUGUCAGGCACGGUCUUAAGGUCUUGGCUAAUAAUUCUCUCAUAUCUAUAACUGAAGAAGAACGCUUGGUGAUGCAUAAUUUGGUCGAACAACUCGGUAAAGAAAUCGUCCGCCAAGAACACAAAGAUGAACCUGAGAGACGUAAAUUCUUGGUGGAUGCUCGGGAGAUUUGUGACGUGCUUACCGAUAAUACAGUAAGUUUGACAGUCUUUCUUCACCUAUCAUUUGACGCUAAUCGUAUAUAUGUCAUUAACUGCCUUAUGUAACACUGUUUCAGGGCUCUAAAUCUGUUUUGGGUAUAGAUCUCGACAUAAUGGCAAUCAAGGAUGAAUUAUGCAUUGACAAGAGAGCCUUUGAAGGGAUGACUCGACUCCAGUUCUUAAGAUUUAAAAGUCCCUAUGGUUCCGGCAAGAACAACAAGUUGAUCUUGCCCCAGGGUCUGAACAAUCUACCUCGUAAGCUUAGACUCCUAUGUUGGGAUGAGUUUCCUUUGAGAUGUUUGCCUCCUGAUUUUGCUGCUGAGUUUCUAGUCAUCCUUGAGAUGCGGAAUAGCUCUAUUGAGAAGCUUUGGGAAGGAUCUCCUGUAAGUUGUUUUAAAUUAUUUUGUUUUUGGAAAUUAAACAUAUUAUGUGUGUGUUUUAAUUUGUCUACUUGCAUUAUCCAUAUGUACAUCGGCUUCGACACCUCAAGCUGAUGGAUAUGUCUUACUCCUUAAAAUUGAAAGACAUACCUAAUGUGUCAAAUGCCACAAAUCUUGAGACAUUAAUACUCAAUGGUUGUGAAAGUCUGGUGGAGAUUCCUACUUGGUUCAAGAAUCUCUCACGUCUCACACACCUAAAGAUGGUGGGAUGCAAGAAGCUCAAGGAUCUUCCAACCAACAUCAACAUGGAAUCUCUCUAUCACCUAGACCUCAGUCACUGCACACAACUGAAAACAUUUCCAGAAAUUUCCACAAGAAUUGGGUAUCUUGAUCUGGAAAAUACUGGUAUAGAAGAAGUUCCAUCAUCUAUAAGGUCUUGGCCAGAUUUUGCUAAAUUGAGCAUGCGAGGUUGCAAAAGCCUGAGGAUGUUCCCAGAUGUUCUUGACAGUAUGGAAGAGUUGAACUGAGUGAUACCAAAUAAAUUUGUUUGGUCGCGAAAUGGAGGCGUUUGGGACCUCAAUGGGUUUAAGAAUCAUUGUUGACGAAUUAUUUGCAAGGUGGUGGUCACUUUCUACUUCAAUAAUGUCUUCUUAUUUCCUAGCUUUAAGAGGCAUUUGUUACUAUGCCAUGAUCAACAUCAUUGUCAAGAUCGACUCUAGCUGAUUGUAAGAAUAAUGAACUGCCAUAAGUAAAGAAACUGAAACUAUUUCUUUUGGAGACCGAGUCUGCUCAUUAAGAAUGCAAAAAGAGAGGCCACUACGAUGGGAAAAGCAAUGAGAACAAACGCUACAACAGCCAAUGAGUCAUAUUUGUAACCUAAGGCCAUGUUUAUUGCAGGGUUCUUAGGAUGAGGUUAGCGUAAAAUAAGAACUGUUUCUUAACUUUAACUAAGAAAAACUAAGAACCGGUUCUUAGUUUUUCUUAGUUAAAAGUUAAGAGACGGUUCUUAUAUUACGCUAAAAAUCUCACCCUAAGAUCUCUCUAAUAAACAUGCCCUAAUAAAUCCUCCAAGAAAGUUGAAACUCUCUUCCAAAUACUAUAAUCUCUUUGUCAACAUCUCCGUACUGACAUUCAUUUUUUAAUAGAUAAUUGUAUGUUAAACAAUUAUGACCAAAAUAGCUACAAAUAUUUCACAAUUAUAUUUAGGUUUAAGCUUCUACAUAUUAUUUUUACAAAACACAAUAUUUUUACAUGAAAAGUAUUACAUAUGUAUUUUCUUUUAAUUUCUUGAUACAACUCAACUUUUUAUUAUCCUUAUUACAUCUUAUCUUAUGAUGCCACAAUAAUUUUUAAUUUUGAUGUUGUUGUCGUACACGAGUAUGUGUGAAUAUGAUGAAUAUGUGUUUGUAUGUAUAAGAUAAAUAUAUAAAUAUUAAACAUAUUUUUUUCUAUUGAAAAUAAAAUAGUUGUAUAAAAAUAUAAAAGAAAAACUUAUUAUCAAUAAUUAAUUUCCUUUUUAAAGUCUAAAUAAAAUAAAAAUGUAAAAAUAAUCUUAUUUUUCUUAUAAUUAACUAACUUUACUUUUUAAUAAUUUUGUGUUACAAAAAUAUAAACCAAAAAUAACUUCAAAUAUUUCACCUAAUAUGAUUGUAACAUGUGUUAAUUAAAAAAUUAGAUUGUGAAUAUGUGAAUAAAAACAGUUAUUAUGUGAAAAUAAUUCUUCUUUUCCUAAAAUCCUAAAUAAAAGAGAUUUCUAAAAAAAAAUAUUUUCUAUAUCUUAACCAAUUAAGAUUUUAUUCUUUAAAAAAAAUCAUGAUGAGAGAGAAUUGUAAAAUUUUAUUUAAUAAUAAUUUGUACUUAAAAAUAAUGAUAAACAUGAAAGUAAAAUUUAUUUAAUUAACAAGAAAAUUUGUAAGAAUAUUAGUGAUAUUGAAAAAAAAAGAAUUUUGAAAAUGGCAACUUUUAAAAAUAGUUAAUAUUAACUGGAAAUAAUAAUUUGAUAGAAAUUUAUUUUUGUAAAUCCUAGACAAAAUAAAAUUGUAAAAGAUUAUGGAAUAUUAAUUUUCUUUCCUAAAAUAUAAAAAAUUGUAAAAGAAUAUUUGAUAGUUGUUUUUCUUUUUAAUAUAAAAAAUCCUAAACAGAAGAAAUUUGUAUCAUAUUUUUAAGUACCAACCAAAAGAGAAUUGUAAAAAUUUAUUUGAUAAUAUUUUUAAGAGAGUAUUUGAUGAUGAACAUGAUAUUAAAAAUUAUUUAAUUAAUAAAAGAAGUGUAAAAUUAGUACUGAUACGAAUUGUAAAAAUAGCAAUUUUUUUAUUAAUAAUUAAAAAUAAUUAUUUGAUAGCAAUUUUUUUUCUGAAAUUCUACUGAGAAGAUAAUUGUAAUAAGUUAUAUGAAGUAAUUUUCCUUUUCUAAAAUCAUAAACAAAAUUGUAAAAUAGUAUUUAAUAAUAUUUUUAUUGUAAAUAAAAAACAGAUUUAUAAAAUAUAAUGUUUUUUUUUUUAAAUCCUAACAAAAUAAAUUUUAAAGACUUAUUUAAUAAAACAUUAAAUUAAUACAUAAGAUCAUGUAUAAUUUUGUCAUUGACUCGAUUGGUGUUUUUGACUUUCAUUUGUAGCCGUUUCAUUUGUACUUAAAAUAUAUUGUAAUUUAUUACUUAGCAAGAAUAAUACAUUUUUCAGCUCAAAAAGAAUAAUACCUUUUUAAUUUAACAAGUUAAUGUUUUUUUUUGCUAAGGAUGUUAAUAUCAUAAAUGAAAUAAAAGAGUUUUUACAUGAGUAGUGUGGGAAGCGAAAUUCGCACUGUCGAUUUCUGUUUAAAUAAGGAAACAAGGAAAACCCUAAUUUCCCAGAGGACCCGGAUAUCUGCUAAUUACCACACGUCAAGCAAUCAGAACACGAGAAUAACAACGAUAAAGUAUAAGAAAUCGAAAAAGAGAGCAAAGAAGAUCUUAUUCCGAAUUUGCGUAUGAGCGUUUACAACAAGGUAUAAGCCUGGGCUCGAGAGCUGUCGGCGAGAUUCCUAGUUCUAGCAACCCUAAGACGGCUAAACCUAAUUGAGUCGCAGCUCGAAAUAACAAAAACGGAAAAAUGCCUAAAUCGCUCUAAGUGCUAAGUUUGCUCUGAAAAGUCAUCUCUCCAUGCUCCUCGCCUAGGACUCCUUAUAUACUAGCUUCAAGGUCGGUUUACGCUUUUACUCUUCUGCCCUUAAGCCGUCAUAGCGUAAAAAUGGAGAUAUUCUAUUUUUCCCGAUCUUCACAAUUAUCUUUAAAACAUCCGUAUCUAUCCGCGGAAACUUGACAUUUAACCGAGUGGGUCGGACGUUUGGUCGCUAUGCAGCGGCCGAUAUCGGCCCGGACUUGGUUGCUACGUAGCGACCGGACGGCGUGUAUGCGCGGUAAUUAUGCAACGACCGAGCUUGGUUCGUUUGGUUUGAAUCUUCAAGGAUAUUUCUUCGUAAAAACUUCGUAUUGGUUAUAUUUUACAAAAGUUAUAUCUUUAAUUUUACUAUCUCUUUCGGAAAUACGAUCUCCGAGGAUUUUCGGGUGGUAAUUCCGUCGUGACCGUUUUUGACCCCAACAAGUAGAAACACUAAUCUAAAAUUGCUUCUCUGGCAAAAAAAGGAAAAACAGAGAGACAAUUAAGUUACAUUUGUUGUGAUGCAAACAUCAGUGGCUCCAAAGAGGUAGAUAAUUGGGGAAUCUUUUCUUCCUGUUUCUUGCAUGGAUGGUGUUGCGAAUGUCCCUGUCUAUGCACUUAAUAAUAGACUCCGGUGGAAUGUGGGUGCUGUUGAAGAGGACAUUGUUUCUCUGUUUCCACAGAUGAUAUAUCGUUGCGUGGACAACCAGACAACGGAGUGUUGCUGGGGCUUGAAGAGUAUCGGAUUUCAACCAUGAGAGCAGCUCCUGCCAGUUACAAAAUAACCUACCAGAAGGUCGUAGCCUUAGAAGUGCCCAUUUCCAGAUGACAACACUAUACUCACAGGUUAAGAGUAAGUGGUCUCUAUCUUCAGGGAAUUGGGAACAAAGACAACAGUGAGUAGGUAUGAGCAUUCCCCAAGAAGCCAGUCUAACCCUUGUGGGCAUCCUGUCAUAAUUUGCAAUCCACAUAUGUAAGGCUUGCUUUGGGACUGCUCCUUUGUACCAUAUCACUUUGACCCAGUCUUUUGUACUUUCCCUUGGUCUGAUUGCAUCCCAUGUGCUCGCUGAAGAGAAUGUCUGCAGCUUAUUCCCAUUAACUAGCCAGUGGUAGGAGUCCGGAUCGGAGGAGACUGAUGGAGGUGUGACCGUUGUCAAGUGGAUAUGUAGCUCUAGUGCACGGUCUGAUCUUGGGUUUGGGAGUCUCCAUCCAUUCACAUUGCAAGCCUUUGAGACUGUUUCUUGUCGGGGCACACAAAUGUCGCGAGGGCCAGUAUCUCCUAGGUACUUUAUGAGAGGACCGAAAGGAGACCAUGGAUCAAACCAGAAGCUUAUGGUUGUUCCAUCUCCCACAGAGGCUCGUAUAUAUCUCUCAGCCAGAUAUUUGAUCUUCAGUAGACACUUCCAGAUCCAAGAGUGAGAAGGUCUUUCCUCAGCUUCCCAGUAGCAGGUAGAUCCUAGAUACUUCCUUUUCAUCCAAGAAGCCCAUAGCGAUGAAGUCUGCGAAAAUAGAAGCCAUGUGUACCUUAAGUACAGAGUUUUAUUCCAUUCAUGGAAACUUCUAAGUCCGAGUCCCCCUUCUGACUUUGGCAAGCAUACCGUGGACCAUUUAACUUUCGCCUGAUAAGCACCCUCCACUGUCCCUGACCAGAGGAAUCUUGAGCAAAGGGAUUCAAUCUUACGUAUACAGCUCUUAGGUAAGACGAAAGUUGUGAUCCAAAAGAUGACAGUCACUGUGAUCACUGAUACUAUCAGCUGUAGCCUUCCUGCAUAAGACAAUUUUUUUACUGCCCAACCCACAAAUCUGCAUCGAAUUUUAUCCAACAGAGGCUCAUAUUCGGAAACUCUCAACUUCCUUGACAUAAGCGGCAAUCCUAAAUACCUCACAGGAAGGGAACCAGUAGUGAAACCAUAACUAGAUAUAGCUGCGGUUUCAACCAGGUUCAGGCCCGCUGUGAAGAGUUGUGUCUUGUUGAAGUUUGUAACUAAACCUGACCAAGAAGCAAAAUCAUCAAGAGUUUCGACAAUUCCAUGAAGUGAGGAGCUGCCACCGUCAAAGAAAACCAUCACGCCGUCCGCAAACAUUAGGUGAGAGAUGGCCAGGUCUUCUGUUUGCGGGUGAUACUUUAUGUAUCCAGAGUCAAAUCUUGCACGGAGUAAUUGUGAAAACACCUCCAUCGCCAAUACAAAUAGAUAAGGUGAAAGUGGAUCACCUUGUCUAAGACCACGAGAGCUUUGAAAAUAACCACUUGAGCUGCCAUUGAUAGAAACUGAGAAAGAGGGUGUGGAGAUACACUCAAUUAUCCAGUCUCUGAACUUUGUCGGUACUCCUAAGGCUUGAAGAGUGGCAAUGAUGAAGUCCCAUCUCAGUGAAUCAAAAGCUUUUCUAAGGUCGACUUUGAGCAUCCCACUCGGUUGGACAUUGUUGCUAUUGUAGCCGUGGAUAAUCUCUGUGGCAAGCAAUACAUUUUCACCCAACAUUCUACCCGGUAGGAAAGCAGACUGGUAAGGAGAAAUGACCUCCACCAAGAUUUUCUUUAACCUUCCUGCCAACAGUUUUGCAAUCACUUUAUAAAGUGUGUUCAGGCAAGAGAUAGGUCUAAAAUCAGUCAUUUUUGAGGCGUUUGGUAUCUUGGGUAUGAGGACUAAAGUAGCUGCAUUCCAUUGCUUUAGAAGCUUUCCUGAAGAGAAGAAUUCGGAGACAGCAGCAGUCACUUCCGGUCCAACAAUGGACCAGCAGGUAGAGAAGAAUUCUGAGGUGAAACCGUCAGCCCCACUGGUUUUGUUCUUAGGGAGAGAGAAGAAGGCUUCACGAAUUUCUUCAGAUGUGAAGUCCCUUGAGAGGCCUGAUUUCUGAGCUUCAUUGCAGCGAAACGGAAUGAGAAGGUCAAUGUCACUCUGCUCAAACAGUUGGUGUGGCACUUCGAGGUUGAGGAACUUCUUAAAGUAAUCUACAGAGUGAUCAGCAAUGUCUUUGGCUGAAUCAUAGCGAUUUCCUUCCUCAUCCAUCAAGUAAUGUAUAUGAUUGAUAGAUUUUCUGGUAUCUGUUAAUCUGUGGUAGUAUGCGGUAUUACUAUCACCCAAGUCCAGCGCUGUGAUUCUUGAUCUUUGCAAAAAAAAAGAUUCCUCAGCUUUAGCCAGGGUCGACCAUUUUCGGUGAGCUUGGUCCUCCUUCUCAGCAUUUCGAACAGAAGGGAAAUUCAUCAGUUGGCUCUGCAUACGAAGGAGUUGCGUAUGUGCCUCGAGCACUCUUUUUUCCAGAUUUGAGUAGCCAAAUUCUGAAGCCUCUGGUUGUAGACACCCUCAGCCUGUAUCAUCAAAGUUACAGAUAUAAUAAAGCAUAUAAAAGCUGGAGAAAAAAAUCAAAACCCAGCAUUAGCAUCUCUGAUCCCGUGACAUUGAAUGUGAACCAAAGCUCUCUGACAACCAUCAAGAAAUUCUGAUUCUGCAGUAUAUAGUUGAAGAACUUGAAUGGUUUCUUACUUGCCUGACUUUCUAGCUGGAGCGAUACACCACAAGACGCAUGAUCCGAGAAGUCAGGUUCACCAAAAUAGGCAAAUGAGGUUGGGAAGCAGUCCAGCCAGGCAGAGUUGACGAGGACGCGAUCAAGUUUCUUGGCCACAGGGUUGGUCUUAGACUUAUUCUACCAAGUAAAAGUGCUACCUCUAAAUGUGAGGUCAGCUAGCUCAGAAUCAAGCAAGCAGUCCCUAAACUGACGUGUGCGCAGAUCGACUCUGGAGUCUAGAUAAUUGGGAAGAUAAUAUUUGGAGUCUUUUUUGGACGCAUAUCAUUGUGAUCAAAUCUUACAAUUUUAAUAUGUCAUAAAUAUACAGCAAAACAAUCCAGAAAUGUUAUCAAAAAGCGUGUUAUUUCAUUAGAACAGCUUAAGAGAGUUAACCAAAUUAACAAAAAGAAAAAAAAAACAGAACAUAAUCUGCGUUUCUGUUAGUCUCACAAGUCACAACGUAAAAACAACUUUCCCUCAAAAAACAAAAAAAAAUAAAAUAAAAUAAUCCUGAAACAGAGCUUCUCUUUUCGUUUGUUGAAAUUUUGUUUGUGGUUGCCGCGAUUGUUAGGCCCUGUAAAAAAAAAGCGUUCAUACGUUGGUCGGAGCCUUUUUGCAUGGCGGUUUGCUUUGGAGGGAGUACGGCAAAGAUAUCAAGGUCUGCAAAUUUAGACGUCGUUGCGAUAUUGGGUGCUUUCCGUGAGAUGAGAAACGGAGGUUAAUGGGGAGAUUGAGAACAGCUUUUCUUGCCGUCUCUCUCGUUUUUCUUGUUUGCGUUUCCGAGGAGAUUAUCUCUCGACGCGGCGCCAACCGCGGCGAGGCUCACGGUGGCGAUGAUGUGGUAAGUUCAUCCUCCUUGCUUCGUUUUCUCGUUUUAGAAACAAAUCAAGAACGCAUGGAGCAAUCUUUUUUUUUUGGCCAAAUACGUAUAUAUGAAGCAAUCUUCAUUUAGGUUUUUAUUUUGUGCAUAUUCAGACAACAUGUUUGUUAUUCCGACCACAAGUUUAUUAUUGACGAACGUGUUAUUUUUCUGAUAGGCAGAACAAACAUGGAUACAUUGUAGAAAAGAAUUGAAAGAUAAGAACAGAGAUUGCCUUAUCUAUAUCCCUCCUCGUGUAGCAGCAGCUAAUGAUACGUACCAGAAACUAUCCGUCUUAACCGGUUGGUUCAGCAACUGGUUUGGACCUCUCCUUGAUUCUACUACAAGCUAUCCAACAAGAAAGCUGAUCGGUAAGCAAAAGAGAAAGAAAAAGAAAAAGAGAAAGAAGUUUAGAGUAUCUGCUCCAAACUUUGCACUUGGUCCUGCACCAGGUUUUGCUCCAGGUCCUUCUCCCCGUUUCGCUCCAGGUCCUGCUCCAACAACUCCUCAGAGUUAUGACCUUGUUGCACCUUCAAGCUCUCCUUCAUAUUCGCCAGCUGAGGCGCCGGAUGAAUCAAGCUUUGGUGGUCCGACUAAGAAGAGAGCAAAGAGUAUUGUUGCUCCUAGUCAAAGUGUUCCAGGUCCUCCUCCUCCUCCACCACCGGAGAGGAAGAAUGAUAUCUUGAUGGAUCUUAUCAUCGCUGUUGCUUCAACCGCUGUGUUAACGUUUUUUCUAGUUGCAUUGCUCUUCUUAUGUUGCUUCAGACGCAACAACCGCAAAAAUGCGGUUGGUCCUAGAAAUGGACCAAGAGAUGAAGGACCACUUCUACAUUUAUCUGAUUUAUCAGCUGGUAAAUGAUGUUUUUUAUUAAAUCAAAACGGUUUCACGUUUUAAUCUUUCAAGAACUAUAACUAACUCUUGUUUUGCUUAUUUUUUUCUUUAGGAUCUAAUGAGAACUCUCCAAAGGUUGCAGCCACGAGUAGGAGAUUCUUCACCGCUAAUUCUAAGAAGAGAUCGUUUCUGUCUAGAGUAUCUCUAAAGAGAAACCAUCAUGACUUCCCACCAGCUGAAGCGUCGUCAUCCUCUGGACUUCCUCUUCCUCCUGGAAGAUCAUCAGGAGCUCCUCCUCUUCCUCCUGUGGCUCCACCACCUCCACAGGCUCCACCACCACCUCCUCCUAAAUCUAAACCUCCUCCUCCUGCUCCUCCAAAACUUGUGCGUCCUCCACCUGCACCACCAAAACGUCAAGGACGUAGCUCCUCUGGAGAUGGUUCUGACGUUGAUUCGGAGACCGGAGCUCCGAAAACGAAACUAAAACCGUUUUUCUGGGAUAAAAUGGCUAACCCUGAUCAGAAAAUGGUUUGGCAUGAGAUCAGCGCCGGUUCAUUCCAGUUAAGAACUGAAUUAAAACUUUUAAUACCUUUGUUUCCAGAUCUUUGCCUAACUCACAUUCUGCUUUGUAGGUUCAACGAACAGGAGAUGGAGUCUCUUUUCGGUUACAAUGAUGUGAACAAAAACAAGAAUGGUCAAAGAGGAGAAUCAUCUAGAGACUCUCCUGUUCAAUAUAUACAAAUCAUUGAUCCAAGGAAAGCACAAAACUUAUCUAUUCUUCUCCGAGCUUUGAAUGUAACAAUAGAAGAAGUCGUUGAUGCCAUCAAAGAAGGUAACGAGCUCCCAGUGGAGCUUCUCCAAACAUUGUUGAAGAUGGCUCCAACUUCAGAGGAAGAACUCAAACUUAGACUAUACUCGGGAGAUCUUCAUCUACUUGGCCCUGCGGAGCGAUUCUUGAAAAUUCUUGUUGAUAUACCUUUUGCGUUUAAACGUAUAGAGUCGCUUAUAUUCAUGAUAUCGCUUCAAGAAGAAGUCUCUGGCAUCAAAGAAUCACUCGCAACUCUCGAAGUAAGUCCACAAUUACACAUGACUUGCCUACUAUGUAUUUUAAUUUGAGUAGUGUUUAAAUCUAAAUACAAUUCAAGGCAUUAUUACAUAGAUUUUAGAGUUCACCAACUUUAAAUUAUCUUACAAUUUUAAAAUUUGAUGGAUUGCAAAAUAUUAAUAAUUUAUUUUAAAUCAUUAAUUGAAUAGUAUUCUGUUUUUUUGUUUUUUGUUUUGUUUCAGGUGGCUUGCAAGAAACUUAAAAACAGUAGACUGUUCAUAAAACUACUAGAAGCAGUUCUCAAGACAGGAAACAGAAUGAAUGUCGGAACUUUCCGCGGUGACGCGCAAGCUUUCAAACUCGACACGCUCUUGAAACUCUCUGACGUCAAAGGAACUGAUGGCAAAACUACACUAUUACACUUUGUUGUCCUUGAGAUCAUUCGUUCUGAAGGCGUUCGUGCUCUUCGCCUCCAGAGAUCAAGCAAAAGCUUCUCCAGCGUUAAAACAGACGAUACCAACACAGACACAAGUCCACAGUCUGUUGAACGUUACCGAAGCACUGGACUUCAAGUUGUUUCGGGACUAACCACAGAGCUUGAAGAUGUCAAGAGAGCAGCAAUAAUAGACGCUGAUGGAUUAGCUUCAACACUGAUGAACCUAAGUGGCUCGUUGACCAAUGCGAGGGAGUUUCUGAAGACGAUGGACGAAGAGAGCGAUUUCGAGAAAGCUUUAACUGGGUUCAUAGAACGUGCAGAUGGUGAUAUCAAGUGGUUGAAGGAAGAAGAAGAGAGGAUCAUGGUGUUGGUGAAAAGCUCUGCUGAUUACUUCCAUGGCAAAUCUGCCAAGAACGAAGGGUUGCGUUUGUUUGCUAUAGUGCGUGACUUCUUGAUAAUGUUGGAGAAAGUUUGCAGAGAAGUUAAAGAAACAACGAUGAUGACAUCCAGCAAAAAUCAUUCGAGUAAGAAGGAAACAGAGAUGAUUCCGGAAAGUAAUCAACCGGAUAACAUUCGACGGCAUUUGUUUCCGGCCAUUGCUGAACGGAGAGCUGACAGUUCGGAUGAUUCAGACAGUGACUAGGAUGGAAUAAGCAAAGCAGUUCGUUAUGUUAGUUUUUGUAUUAUGUUGUAUCAUUUCAGUUUCAAGUAAAACACAAACAAAAAAAAGUAACUUACAAUUUGUAUUUAUGUAUAAUUCUGUUUUUGUUUGUGCCCAGCUUUAUAAAAAUAGAUAGAUAGAUGGUAGGAACAAGAACACGAGAGCUUUUAUUACUAAAAGAAGAGAUACAACCUAGUCAAAUGAUUCUCCUCUAUGAAAAUUAUGUGAGCCUAAUCUAACAAGAAUAACAAUGGUAUCCUAACCCAAAGUUAUUGUUAAAUUCUAAAAAUCACAUAUAUGGUAAAAAAGCUAUACAUUAGAAUGAGGGGAAAGCUUGAGAGACUCCUUGCAGUGAAUGAGUAAGAGACUAUUUAUAGUAACUGUGUUGCCUCCCCCUCGCUUUCCUAGAAAAGAGAAAGCUUCUGAAUAAUAGAGGUUUCCUUUCCUUUUUUACCUAACUAUCCCAUGUCGCUUGAAAGACAUGCCUUCUGUUUUUGAGCCACUGCAAUAAUUCUCUAUCUAGUGACGAGUUGUUGACUACAGCAUCGAACAUCGGGCUUCCUAAUACUCCCAAGGUGCUUUUGAACAUCCAUAUUUUGUCCUUUGCCCAUGGCUUUUGAGGUUGCUUUGACUGUACAAAAAUAAGAUAAAAAUUUUAAAAGAUCACUAUCAUGGACAAUGGUGACAAAUGAAUAGCAUUUCGGAAGUGGGUCAAGUAUGAAGAGAUUACCAUCUGUGAAACCAUUGUUUUCACCGUCUUUGGGCCAUAAACACGAUGCUUUGAUGGCUUAUGAGCCUUUGCGUAGAAGGAAGCAACUUCGGGUAAAGAGAGGCAACCUCUGGUUGCUUUCACCAAUGUAAGAUCAGGAUCAGUAUUUGUCUGUUCAUACCAGUAAAUCAGCUGGCCGAGACAAUAGUUCUCGCCAUAUGUUUUCCGGUACUCCUUUAUACCCUCGCCUAACUUGUCCGCAUAUUUGGCCCCCAAAUCUAACGGGCUAAUUUGUACAGGAGAAGACAUAAAUGACUUGUAUUCCUGCCGACCAUAUCAAGACCCAUCUGUCAGUAGAAGUUUAACAAGACUUUGUCUUCUUUUAUCAUCCAAAUCAUACGAAAUAACUUACCCGAACUUUGAAAAAGCACUUUGUAUAGGCAUAUAUGUGAAUCAAAUCAGCUGCAGCAUCAUUCCGACACUUGUAUGUACAAGGUAGAUCUCGGACCUCAUCUCUCAACCUUCAUGGAAGAAAAUAUUCUUUGAUGUAAGUGUACAGUUUCCUAAAAGUACAAUGUUUCAUGCAUAUUGAUGCACUAACCAAAGUAAUGAUCUUUGAAGAUCCUUAAGGACGUCUGCAGAUCCAGAUGGAUCAUGGGCACGAAUCUUGGAUCUGAGUUCAUCAACAAUGCCCUCUUCCACGUGUGGCGAAAGGCACUGAAGGAUCUCCUCAACUAAGGAGCCAUCCCCGUUCCACAAAAAAGAGACUGUUUCUUCAGGAGUAAGCUUCUCCAGCGGAGGAGGAGCGUUCUUUGGAUCCCCAAACACACGUCUCAUAACAUAUCUUACCUGUGUUAUAACACUAAUUAGAGAAACUUCGAUUGGGAAAAAAUAUUUUACAAGCAAUUGCACAAAAAAUUUGAAACGCAACGCAGAUAACACGAUGUUUGGUUAUAUGAUAUGAAGAGAGAUUGCAGUCACCUUGUCAAGUGUGACAGCCAAAUUCUGAAGCCUCUGGUUGUAGACACCCUCAGCCUGUAUCAUCAAAGUUACAGAUAUAAUAAAGCAUAUAAAAGCUGGAGAAAAAAAUCAAAACCCAGCACAGAGUUCCAAAGCACAAAAGACAUGAACUAUUGAAAGAACCCGCAGAAAGGUAAAAAGGAAUGAUGUUCUGACCUGAACCUCAGCAUCACUUUUCUCAACAUCAAGGUGUAUGUCUGAAAAAUAUUUUCUCUUUUCUUCCAUAUUAUGCUUAAGAAUUUCCUCUGGAAGCUUAGUUCUCUCGAAAUUGAUGAACCGCACCUUUAUGCAGAAGAAACUUUCUGUCAGAAGCUGCACUCCCAUCAAUAGUGCUGCUAUAAACUAACAUAAAAUGAUUCAAGACUAACCAGAUGAGCAGAAUACGCAAUCACCCAAUCUGGCAGCCCACCAAGCAUACAACUUCCCAGUCCAGCUCUUCCCAACUCAAGAUAAUCUUCUUCUGAAACUGAAUUCAGUAUACAAGCUUCUAGCAUCAGUCUAUGUCGAUCCAGCAGACCAUGCCAUUCCUUCAACACCUGUUAUAUACAUGGUUCAGAAAAUUAUAUAGACAAUCAAAGGACAAAAGAAAUGCUUUUUAAACUUCGGUACAAAGACACUAAUUACUCAUUAGUGAACAAGCACACCAACCUCUGUCAUUAACCUUGCGUAUCUUAAUACCAGUUAAUAAUCAUAUAUAUGUUAAUAUCACAAUUACCUUCUGAAAUGCACCUUCACCAGUGAGAUUCAAGUAGCUGCCUCGGCAUACUUGGCUACCACACAAGCAGACAGAAGCUUCAUAUUCUUCCUUACUCUGUUGCAGACAUAAAUAUCAUUCUUUUAACAGUAGAAUGGGAACAUAAAUAUUAAGAAGAGAGAGGGAAGAACAGACCUCAGUUACAGAAUUAUAAUCAAAAGUUAUCUCCUCGCCGUAUUCAAUCGGACGUACUGAAUAGAUGCCAAUCUGGUAGUGUCCAUCCACCGCAGUAACCCUGGAAGCACCAGUUGGCAAAGACGGAAAAUGAGUAACCCGUUUAAACUUGUUAUUAGGUAGGAAGACACUCAAGUAUCAAGAGUUCUCCCCUCCAUUUUUUAUUUUUUAAAGCAUGGACGCAUAGGUAAAAGGACGAGUAUUGCCUAAUAUGCCUACGAGUAGAGCAGAUAUCAUAAGCAAAUGUUGGUAAGUGUAUCCACAAAAUUUUAUAUCUAAGAAAUUUAUCUGUGUAUGUAUUGAUCUGAGCUUACUUAAGCAGGCUAGUUUAUGCAUGCAACAUGAAUGAAACUAAAUUAUUACAAUGGUCACGUGGUUCUACUCUCUAAACAAAAUUCUGGAAAAUUGGAUGAUUGCGGAUUCACGAGCCGUGUCACAGCAUCUGACACGAUUGAUGGAAUAUUUAUGUUGACCACAGGAGAUGUUGCAUUUUCAAUAGUGACCCACCUAUUAUUAUCUGAAUGUUUAAUCAUAUGGUCAGAGAAAAGAAUGCCUUGCUCCACAAGAGCUUUAAGCUCGGAUAACUUUGCAGGCCCAUGUUCAGUGCCAUAGUAAUCAAGAUAAAACCACUCCCCCAAGGAUGAAUCUGCCGCCAUAGGCUCCUCGUGAGGUGGUGUAUCACAAAUGUCCAUAUCUACCUCCAUCGAUGGCAACUCUUCGGUAGUUGCUUCACCAACUAGCACAGACUCUUUUCCCUUUGCACACGCACUUGGAAUCUUGGAAGAAUCACAUACAGAAUUUUUCUCAGCCACCGGAUUAUUGUUAUUCAAAAUGUUUUUACCUUGCAAUUCUUUUCUUGAUGGAGACGACUCUUUUCCAUUAGAAUCCCUAUGCCUUUGCUUAUUCUCAAGCUCCAUACCAGUCUGAGAAUCCCUCCUCUCCCUAACUCCACUCUUUCUGCUUAUAUCUCUAUGGCCAUUACGUCUGGUACGAUCGCUCUGGGGAUCUUCCAUAUAUUUAGAAGUUCCGUCGCGGCGAUCACCGGACCAUUCAGAGUAACUUGGACUUCUUCUAUAUGGUCACGUGGUUCUACUCUCUAAACAAAAUUCUGGAAAAUUGGAUGAUUGCGGAAUUUAACUUACUUAGCUUCACAGUUAGGUCGGCAAGAAUGACAAAUUCGACUCGCAUAAUUAGCCUUGUGCAUGGCAUCAACAACAACUAAAUCAUAUCCAUCAGCGUCACCCUGCCAGUAACAUAACAACAUAAAAAAUAAGAAAAUGGUCUAAUAUAAUAUAUACAAGCCCAAUCAUCAUAUUUUCUUCAUACCUUCGGUCUCUCAAGAUAGAUAUUGUAAAACUCUGGUGCAGGAUCAGUUUUGUUUUCCUGCAAGGAACGAAUUCCAUCUUGCUUCUCAAACCACUUCCAAACAGGAUAAACCUACAAUAUCCAAAACAUACGUUCAGAGCUCCCUUCAGAGAAUGUUUCAUAUCCAAGAACAGCACGCCCAGUGAAUUUCAGAAAUUGUGCAGCUGACUAACUACCAAACAUAAAACUGCAAAGCUGCAAACCCACCUCUCCAAGAAAUUCAACAACAAAAUCGUCUUCCACAAAACCACCUUGUUUGUUGCAAACAACACCGAGGCCCUACAAAGGCAAAAAAGUAGCAACAAGAUAGAUUAACAAAAACAGUCCUAAAUAAAUUGAUGGAUUUCUAUGAAAGAAUGACAGAGCUAUACCUUCCGAUAAGACACAUAAUUAUCACCAGAACGACUUUCUAUAGCCUUUAAGACGCCUUGACACAUUUUCAUUGUUUGUAUAUCACACUCUUCACGAGCAUUCUCUUUGAGCUCUUCAAUCACAGGUCUUAAAGGGAAUACCAUGGGGGUGUUUCCAGAUCCAGUGAGAAACCUGACUUUCCUGUUCAGGGCACGUAAGACUACAUCUUCUAUAAAUGAAUGUUUAUCCUGCAGUGACCAGUCCAAUUCUCCGGGCAUUGAAUCAAGUAAGAGGUUAUGGGUGUAAGGAUCGAUUCCAUAAACCUCUUGCUCUAAAACCUCGUUGCCAAGAAGCUUUCUUGGUUUAUACUCCUUGACUUCAGGAAGCUCCAUAUCUAACUCUUCAAUGCCAUUUCGUUGUGCAUUCAGCUUCUCAUCAUAGUCCUCUGGCAAAGAAACCCGCAUCUUUCGUUGUACCUCCUCCUCGUCAGCGACAAUCGUGUACUCUUCAAUCAGUUCAUAUUUCCUUGUGACUGGUGGCACAAGACUAGCUUUGGUCAUACGUGCACCCCAUUCACGCUCUUCGGUCACAGAAUCAAAGGAUUCGUCUGCUGUAAAAUAUUUUUCAACACGCGAGUCCUGUGAUCGACCUUCUGAACGGAUAUCCGAUUCGCUUUCUGAAGCUGAGCUGUAAUUGUCAUUGUCAGAUAGCUCGGAAGAUGUUUCACUUCCCGAACCAAAUGAUUUACGAUUCAGUUUAGACAAACGCCUUUUGAUUUCGCGGUCAGAUGCAUAUUCUCCGUAGUCCAGCGCACCAUUUACACCAAAUGUGUCACUCGUCCUGCUCAUGUACUUCUUUUCAGUUACAGAUUUGCUCAACUUCUUGUUGUACUUAGAGGCUGAUGACAACCCUGAGCCAUCUUGCCACGACUUCAUCAAUUCAUCUCUUCUAUAUGAAGAAGUAGCCAUAGAGACCUCUUCUAAACGUGUGGCAAGUUGGAUAAACAGUAUGAUGAUUCGGUUCAUCUCUUUGGAGUCUCCCCGAUUCCUCUCUCUGGAUAUAAGAUAGAAUCAGGAGAAAUUUUACAAAACUAGUAUUAAGGAAAGCAAUAAAAACAGCUCCUACCUUUACUUAAGAACUAGGAGUCUAGGAAUAAAUGUCAAAAACAAGUAAUCCUACAUCCUAACAAACUGAGGGCCAAAAACCAAGCACAUGGGAAGAAAGCGGUUAUUGACUUGAGAAAUUAUAACCUAUAAUCCAGAAAGGACAUCAGCAGUCGUUCAACAUAUUGUUUGGCAAGUAGAAUCUUCAUAGUUACUUAUUUAUAAUUUGCAAGUCAAUAUUUGAAGUAUUAUUGGCAUAAUCAUGUACUAAAGAAGCUACCCAAAGAAAGAGGAAGGGAGCCUUACUUAAUUGCUUCCCUGCACAUCCGGCUGAUAUCCUCCUUGACAGAUUUCAAACCAUGACUAACGUAGUAACCGUUUUUCAUUUUUUCCUCUAUAUGAGCAACCUAGUAACCAAAGACACAUUAGGAUUAACUUUAACAAAUGGUAAAGAAAUAAGAGCAGACAUAAUAUACAGCAUACACGAAUACCAGAAAGCACCUUUAAAUCAAAGAAGUCAAAAGUAUUCUGCUUCAUGAUGCCCCUAAGGCUUGAAGAAAGGAAUUCCUCCACUCUCUUAUACCCGUAUUCUGACUUCUUAAUCGCCCAUCGCCUGAUACGAGCAUCCCUGGAUAGAAUUGCCGAUGAUUUCCGUGCAUCAUACAAUUUUGAGCGUUUGUAUAAGCUUCUUCGGAAUAACUGAUUGGCUGAGUCUCGCUUUUCCACUCGAUCAAAGUAAUCCUUAAGGUUACCAAAAUCAUCUGUAUCUCCUCCUAAUUCCAUAGACUUAUUAACAUUAGUCUGUUUCAAACUCCUUGACCUGGAAUGCAAGUCACCUGGUCCAGGAUGCUGGCAUUUGAGCCAACUUACUUUUCUAUAUUUCAAAGUCAAAUUUCCAAACUGGGAGCAGCCUGUGAUGUCUAUAGAAGAUAUAUGGGGAAAUAAACGAAGAAUUUCCUCAAGCAUGCUGGAAGUCACGUUUGUACAACCAACCAGAAUAAUAGAAUCAAUCUUCUCCGUGUUGUAAGUGUUCUGCAAGAGAAUGUCAUAUCAGAUCAAUUAAAAUACUAAAUUUUCUAAAAUACUGUAAACGAAAAGUACAGAGUGCUCACCAUGAUACUCCAGAGCCUAGAAUCUGUGCAGUUGGGACCCAAAGAAGAUAAGUCAACUUGUCUUGAAAUAUCCUUGUAUGAACUAACAAUGGCCUUCCAGUGUCUACAAGUCAUGGACGCAAAUGCAAGUGAUUUUACAUCAUAUCUCAGCAAAUGAAACACCCGUGCUAACACGUGACCAUCUAACAAAUCCCAGUACAUCCCCACGCUGCCAGAAGAUCCACUUCCUUCAACAUGGAAAGUAGCGUCCCCACAUAAAUCCUCAAAUGUCGACUCAUCCUUCUGAAAUAUUUGUGCAUCUUUCACUUCAGAAUGGUCUCCACUUUCACCAGCCAUCAAUCGAACUCUUUUCGUAUAUGAUGAUGAAUCAAAUUCUGAGGUUUAUGAACCAAAAACAAAAGAGAGAAGAGAACAAAUGUUUAAACAUACGAAAGCAGGAACUGCACAGUGUUAUAACCAGAAGAGAAUGAAGAAACAAAGGAAAUAGCCACCCAAGUUCAGAAACCGAUAAUAACUUGAAGAAAAGCAUGAGCUAAUAAGACGGAUGGGGUGGCAUUUAAGUUCUGGUAGUUAUGCAUACCUGAAUAUGGGUGCAUGUACUUGCCAGUCUCUUUCUUUGGCUGUCUUGCAUGAAUCCAAGAGUCUAAGACAUCGUUUAUGGCAGCAGAAAAUUCCCGAGUCUUGUAUGUUUUCAUAACCAAUUGAUGGAGUUUCCCACGGAAAUAACCAAGAAACUGAGGAUGCAUAGCAUGGAACGAGCUUAGACUUGUGUCCAUUUCAGAAUGCUUGAAAUCCUGCGACUCUGAGACAUCAAGGCUUUGACAAUCUGAAGGCAGAACUGGGGCUUUCCCCUUGCCACUGAUUUCAGAAGUUUUUGUGAUAGAAGUAACAGGUACCCAAAUUUUGUCAGAUUUCCUGAAGACACUAGUGUGGCGCUUUAUUAAACCUUUAGCAACCAAUAUCUGGAGCUCCGAAAAUGGCAAAGGUCCUUGUUCUUGCCCAGAACCAUCCAUGUAGAACCAAUCACCCAAAUGCAAUUGCAAAUCAUCGACUGUAAACAGACGAUCCCCAGGGGUGCUAACAGAUGCGUCAGUUCUCCAAAAUCCCUGCAUAUCUUGACUACCGCAAGCUGAUGACUGAGAAAUACUUUCGACGGAUUCCCUCUUGGAAUCACUAGAUGCAGGGGAUGGACGAGCAUGCCUUGAAGAGAACUUUUCCCCACCACGAACUUUUACAAGGGGAUCAGGAACUGAUGGAACUUGAUCAUUAACGACUAAUGAGUUAAGCCUAACUACAGACAGCACACUAGCUUUUACUCCCCUCGCCUGAUUUCUCUCAUCUACACCAGAAAAAGCCCACAGGGGAAGUUCCAGCCUAGAGCGGCUGCGAGGAUUAUACAAAUCAUCCUUGUGAUGCCAGCGAGGAUCCUCAUACCCAGACUUCUGCAUCAGGCAUAAUGGGAAACCAUCAUUCAGAACCAUUUUCUUUUUGUAAUCUCUAUCUUGAAAAGCUUCAUCGUGUCUUAUCCAGUCCCCGCCUGUGCAAGACCAACGACCUGAAAACCAGCUGCCUAUCUCAUCGCUCUCAGAACAAUCAACAUUUUCUGACUUCGAUUCUUCGAUGGCCAUUGCCUUGGGCUCUGAACGUUCCCACGACUCCUCAUUUAAUAGCAACUGAUUUACCACUUGAUAGUAGCACCAGAUGAUAUCUGCAAAUGCCAGAGUAGAACUUCUAAAUAGUGUCAUGCAAAACAUGUGGAUAAAUUUUUUAAAAAAAAAACAUGUGAAUAAACAAGAAGCUAUGAUUACUAAAAGUUGAUGUCGUCUAAAUGAAUAUCCAUGUUCAUGCACAAACCAUCAUAUGGCAGUAGACGGCCAUUACGUCUUUAACACACAUCAACACUUCCAAAUACUACAAACGAACUAAUAUAAAUAUAGAUGACUAUAUAAUAUCUUAAGUGAAUAUAAACGCUUGUAUCGUUACGUUUUCUGAUAGUAGAAGUAGGCCAAGUUAGGAAUAUAACUUGCCUGAAAGGAGGAGAAGCAAAUAGAGAAAAAAAUCAUAUCAUGCUAUAGAAAAAGUGCAAGUGGUGCCAACGAAACAUACCUUCAGAACUCACAAACCUUCUCGUCUCUUCAAGCUCAACUUUAAUCUGCACAGCUUCUGCAAAGCGAUAAAAAUAAGCCUAUCUUAGGUAUGGCAUAGAAGCCCCAUGGUGCAAUAAACUAAAUGUAUUAAGAAAAAUGCUUCAGAUAUUUGCUAGCAUUUUUGGCUGAAAACAUCAAAUUUCUGGCCGGAAAGAUAAUAUUUUACAUCUACUACAGUACCUCCAAGUGUUUCAAGUUCCCUGCCAGGGAUGAUAGUAUAGCCAUCCAAGAGACUCGCGAUCCUGUUAUCAAACUGGAAAUCUUCAUGAUGGCCCACUACAGUAUCAUUACUAUCUGGUAUGGACAAUGAUUCAGGCAAGGAAUCUUCAGCUCCUUGCUCCAUAUGAACUGCUUUGACAGCAUCUGCAAUAUCUUCUAAUAAAUUACCAGGCGCUUCAGGAGGAUUCACGAGCCGUGUCACAGCAUCUGACACGAUUGAUGGAAUAUUUAUGUUGACCACAGGAGAUGUUGCAUUUUCAAUAGUGACCCACCUAUUAUUAUCUGAAUGUUUAAUCAUAUGGUCAGAGAAAAGAAUGCCUUGCUCCACAAGAGCUUUAAGCUCGGAUAACUUUGCAGGCCCAUGUUCAGUGCCAUAGUAAUCAAGAUAAAACCACUCCCCCAAGGAUGAAUCUGCCGCCAUAGGCUCCUCGUGAGGUGGUGUAUCACAAAUGUCCAUAUCUACCUCCAUCGAUGGCAACUCUUCGGUAGUUGCUUCACCAACUAGCACAGACUCUUUUCCCUUUGCACACGCACUUGGAAUCUUGGAAGAAUCACAUACAGAAUUUUUCUCAGCCACCGGAUUAUUGUUAUUCAAAAUGUUUUUACCUUGCAAUUCUUUUCUUGAUGGAGACGACUCUUUUCCAUUAGAAUCCCUAUGCCUUUGCUUAUUCUCAAGCUCCAUACCAGUCUGAGAAUCCCUCCUCUCCCUAACUCCACUCUUUCUGCUUAUAUCUCUAUGGCCAUUACGUCUGGUACGAUCGCUCUGGGGAUCUUCCAUAUAUUUAGAAGUUCCGUCGCGGCGAUCACCGGACCAUUCAGAGUAACUUGGACUUCUUCUAUAAUCAUGGUGAUGGCUGCGGUCAUGUGGAGACCUUUUACGAGCAUGUGAAGGCUUCUCAAAGAUAUAUGGCGAUCUCUCCCGGGCAUAUGGCGACCUUUCCCGAUUGUGGGAACUUCUAUCCCUGUGGCCAUGGUACCUAGACCGGUCAUGUGGGGACAGAUCAGAUCGUGCAGGGCUGUGUCCAUGUCUGUCUGAAACAGCCCUGGCAGGGAAAUAUGAGUCUUGAUGCUUUUUAGGAUACUUUUCCAGAGAUGAGUGUUUUGAUGAAUAGGAAUCUCUGUAGUCUCUCUCAACAGAGUUCCGUGAAUAGUGGUCUGGGUGAAGAGAGCGGGAACAAUCAUCAGAAAGUUUUCUAUAUUUGGAGCUCCCAUAGUCCCCAUUAUCCGCAUAAAGAUGUUUGCGCUCAAAACUAUCCGGUUCAGCUCCAUGUCGCUUCAGUUUGUUCACAGUAGAAGAGUAUUCCCAAGAUUAUUGGGAUCGUUGUAUUCGUUCUUAUGUAAGCUUUCCUCUAUUACAAUUUUAGAACUGACUCUCGUAGCUCUGUCAUUCCCACUUCUGAACUCUCUCCGGCGAUAGGUAUCCUCAUUCAAAAACCUCCCGCCGGGCGGGGUGCGUUCAUGUUCAUAGUCAUAAUCAUAUUUCCACGUUUUCUCUCUGUCAACUCCAUUCCUACGAGAUCUGUUGUAACUAUGAUCAUCCUUUACCGUAUCCAUCUUAUGCCAUCUGUCUGGAAUGAACUCCCCCUUCUCAAUUUCAUUACCGGGAUCUCUCCAUGAUCUGAUUUCUCUCUCUUCUUUCCUGUACUUAUCUGCGGGUAAAUCCCUUCUCUCCACAUAAGAUUUAUCAUAUUGCAGGUUACUGCAAUCCCCAGAAAUCUCCCCUUUUUCAAUCUCAUUAUUCCGCAGUGACUUCACUGGAGAAAUCUCACCGGUCUCCAAAUCCCCAUGAGAAUUUAAUGUACCUAAUUCACCCUCUUCCACUUCAUCCUUAAACCCAGAAUCUCCACCGUUUUCUUCUUUAUUGCUACUUUCUCCUCCUUUUCCUUGCAAAAGUUCACUCUUUUUAUCCUGCUCUUUCUUCAGGACCUGUGAUUCUCCAGAAAGUUGCACUACCUGAUCUUUCGGCUGCUCUUCUGCUUGUUUCUGAGGCUGCUUGGGCUUCCUCCUGACAACUUUACGAAUAACCUUAACAAUUUUCUUCUUCUUAGGUGGCUGAGACGCUGAGGGUUUAGCUGGCUGGGACUCCGGAAGCUUAUCACUAGUUGAGAUUGAAGUGUGACCAUUCUCGGGAACCUUGGUAUCAAUGUUGCCUCCACAAAGCGUCUUCUCUGGAAGCUUGUCCAUGAUAUUCAGUAGAGGCAUGCAUGUGGCGACACCCCCAUCGCUCAUGGAAACAAAGCUUUUCUCAAGUCCCGGGGAUAUCAAUACUCAUGCUUCAGAACAUCCACCGCCAAAUUCAAGAACCUGUACACACCCAAGAAGCAAUCAGUGGCGAAAACUGAAUGUAGGGUUCUGCCCAGAGCGAGAAUCUGGAAACCCUACGGAGCCAAAUUGAUGAAAUUAGAGGAGACGAUGAGACGGGAAGACAGCGAAUUGAAGCGGGGAUUAUACCGGGGAGGGUAAGGAAACGUAGCGAAGGGGAUCAAAAAAACCCUAGAAUAGAGCUGGGAGGAAGACGAAGGAACGUGAGAAGGAUGAGAAAUUUCUGGAGAAUAAGAGAUCGAGGUCAAAGAAGACGAAUCGAGAAGGAAACCCUAGAAAGCUCUCGCUAAAUCUUAAUCUGGUUGUUCCCGUUUCGCCGGAAAAUCACCGUUGCGGCGUGUGUUCUUUCUCUCUCUGCGACCUGCGCUUCUCUUCUGAAUCGUUGUGUUCUCUCUCUCUCUCUCUCCGUUAUGUUUUCCUGAAAGAAGAAGCCGUCGUGUUAAUAUUUUAUUUUCUGUGUAUUUAUUUAUUUAUUUAUUUUUAUUUUUUAUAUCACCGUUUUCACCUUGACUAAUUUAGUUAUGAAAUUGCUAAUAGUACGAUUUAAUUUAUUGGUCAAAAGUAUAUUAGUAUGCAAUGGUAAAAAUGGUAAUUAAGAAUAGCUGUGAAUUGUAUUUGUAAAAAAUAGGUCCAAACACAUUUUGAAUGAUGUUUUCAUUGUAGUACAACGAGUGAAGUUUUCGUUAAUUUUGUUCUUAUAUAAAUAUUUGUUUUGAAAAAUAAUAAUUUCAUUAUAUGAACUUAACUUAUUAUUGAAUAUAUUAUAUUAUUAUAUAAUGUGCAAUAAGUUAAUAAUCUACUAAAAUAUUAAAUAUAUUUUUUCAACUGUAUGGUUGAUAAAAUCACAAGUUAUUUUCUCAUUCUAAUUCCUUUUAAUACAUUUCUCAAAAUGUUUUACUUAUCAUAUUUCUUCCUCAUAUUUUUUUCUAGUUUUCUUUCAUUGGGUUUUAUAGAAAAAUUCAACAGUAAAAAAUAGAAAAUAAUAUUAAAAUGAUAAUUAAAAGACAAAAUAAUGAAAAUACUUUGAAUAGUAACACUUAUUAAAACACUUCUCAAGAGUUUUUAUCUUUGUCAUUUUUUUUUGUCACUAAUAUCUUUGUCAUUUAAAUAUGACAAAACAUGUGACUUUUUAGUAUAUUUGUAUAGUAGGCAUGUGAUUUUAUUAGCUUUUGCAUAUUUUAUAUGUGUUAAAAAAAAAAUUUUGAUCCAACAUAUUUUUACUGAAAACGAAAAUAUUUUCUUUUUUUCUAAACUGAGAUAAUUAUUUCUAUACUCAUCUUGUUCAUAAAAUUAUUAGUUUAAAACUAAUCUUUUUUUCUUAUUAACUUGAAAAAUAAAAUGAUAAUAUCAGUAACUGAUGAAAAUAAAAUUCCACAUAAUUUAUUUAACAAAGCUAAAAUAAUAUUUAAUGAGAAGCUUUCUGCAAUUAGUAACAAUAAUUUAUUCUGAUCAAAUCUACUAUAUUUAUAUGUCCUUUUAGCAUUCAAAAUUGGAUAAAAAUAUCAGAUCUACCAAAAUUUUAUAUCUUUACAUAUAUCACACUCUCGGGUCCGGAUCUGAAAAUAACAAUCAUACCAAAAACAAAAAUUGUGAAAAUGUUUACAUAUCAAAUUACUUGUUCAUACAUUAUUUACACGUUUUUACAGUUAAUUAACUUUUUCACAUGCGACAAAAUGGCAUAUUGUCAUUUACUCGUAAGACUAGCCCAAAAGUAAGGCGGCCACUUCCAACAUUUUUAGCAAUGAAAAUCCAUUUGGCGCUCAAACCAAACGCUAUGAGCGGUAAGAUUCUCACCGUUAAUAAACGGACAUCUUGACCCAAGACUUUUUUAUUAAACAACGUGGUGCGAAGCUUUGAAGAGAUUCUGAUUUGAUGAGCCAUUAAACACUUGGAACAACCCGUUACUUAUAAUGUGGGCUUUGUAAUGGGGGUCCAUUGGUGAUUGAUUACUCCUACAUUCUCUUAUUGAAGAACUUCUAAAACUUUAUUCCAAAAGCAGAGCAAAAUAAAAGCUUUGACAAAAAGUAACGACCACUCUAGGCUUUCUUAUCACAUCACAAAUAAAAAAUGCAUUUUAUCAUGAUGAAACUGAUUCACGGGAGAAAAAACAACACAAGAAUGCAAAAAUAAAAAGGUCCAGAUUCUAUUCAUGACAGCAUAUAAAUAAACAGAUGGCAUAAAGGUCGUCAAUAUCAUGACAUAACAAGAGUAUUAAUUGAUUCUGAGAUGAUAAUCAUGAUAUCUUCAAAUCCAAGGGAAAAGAAACCAAAUGGUGAACUACAACACUUUGUGGGCAGUUUUCGAGCUUAGGAAGUUUCCCCAGCUCGUUGUGUCACGCCAUUCACUAAAAGCUUAGUAAAGGACUCUGGCGGGUGGACUUGUACUCUCAUUCCCUGAUGUAGUCAGAAAUACCUCAAGCUCUAGCUUCUCAAAUGUCAAGCUUGUACUGUCCAUGGUCUAUACAUGUUUUGUUGUGUUAUUAACAUCUAAUUUUUUUUUUGAAUUAUAAAGAAGUAUCCUGCCUUCGGAAACUAGCUAAAGCCGCAUGUUAACAGUCUACGUUUUCGGCCCACGUGUCGGUCUCAUGUCCAUAGUGAUACCAAAAUUUUAAUUUUCCAAUGGCCUGGACUCGAACCCUAGUGGUUUCACUGUAUUGGGUUUCGCCCUCAGGUUAAUCUAGGCCCGGGCAUUUUACCCGGACCCGAAGACCCGACCCGAAACCGAUCCGAAAAAAUCCGGUCCGGGUAGGAACCGACCCGAUCAAAUUACCCUAUUGGGUCUUGUUGCAGAGGACCCGCGGGUCUUGGACCCGAUCCGACCCAAACGCGAAACCCGAUGGGUACCCGAAUUAAUAAUGUAAAUUAAAUAAAAUGCAUCAAGGGAGAAUCGAAGACGGGUUAUUUGUCAAGAGAACAUGGGGGUCAACCACUAGGAGACAACAAAUUGUUAUUGUAUCUCGCAUAGUUUAGUAUAUAUACACAUUUUAAUAUAAUAAAAACACAAAUUUUGAAUAAAAUUUUGAAUAUUUUAGGAUAUAUAAAUAUUUUCAGAUAUUUUUUUGUAUUUUUAGGUCUUUUUUAGAUCAAACCCGAAUCGAACCCGACCCGAAACCGAACCGUAUCCGAACCGAUAAAUUCUAAUUACCCGAAUGGGUCUAACUAUCUAAGACCCGACCCGACCCGGACCCGGCACGAUCCGAACCGAUCCGGAACCGAGAAUUUGAAAUUACCCUAUCGGAUCCUAAACUCUUAGACCCGAAAGACCCGGACCCGAAAGGACCCGAUCCGAACCCGACCCGGCGACCCGAAUGCCCAGGCCUAGGUUAAUCACCAUUGAACCACAUGCCCCUGUUUAUUAACGUCUAAUUAUGUCUAUUGUCCACUGUUUUCAUGGAUGUCUAAAACACCAUGUUCAAAAAAUAAAAAUAACACUUUUAAUAUAAUAUAAAACAAUAAAAAUAAGACACUUUUUAAUGUGGUGAUCAACAUAUACAUAAACGUUUCGAUCUUUUCUUAGGAGACCCGAGACCGUAAGGUAAGUAAGUAGAAACGUCGAUGGCUGUAUAUAUAUGUUGAUCACCACAUUCUCUGCGACACGAACACUUAGUAACUUGUACGUCUGGAAUCUUAAAAGAAGCCCAAAGGACCAUAAUGUUUUUGUUGUUUUCUACAUAUGAAUGAUUAUAUGAAUGCACUUAUGUAUCAAUAUAUAUGCCUGUUUGACUGACGUAGUAUGGGUGAAGGACACAACACAUGUACACAUUGAGUAAUGACCAUUGCGUAGUGUUUGUCCUUUUAACAAAAUUUAGAUACUUUUUCGCAAGAGGAGCGUAAGGCAGAAUGAAAUGAGAGAAAUAUUUUAUUAAUCAAAUUAAGAAUAUUUUUUAAUAGCAAUAUUAUCAUAUUCAUUGACAAAAAAAUAUUAUAAUAUUUAAGACAACCUUACUUUAUAUAUCUCCCUAAUAUUUACACCACACAAAAAUAAAAUCUAACUCAAACCCAACAGACGGUCGAGUCCUCAAUGCAAGAGUUAUCGAGUAUAGUUUGGGAACAAACAAUACUUAGAUUCACCUCUAUGGUACUAUCAAUUUUCACCUCACCAUUGAUCACCAAUCAAAGUGCUAUAUACAAAUAAUAAAAAAUAUUAAUUUUUCCAAAAAAGUAAAAUAGCUUCGUUAACAUUAACACCAUCAGCAAAACAUUUAACUCUAAACCUUAAAUACUAAAUUUAAAAUAUAAACCCUAAACCUAAAACCUAAGCCUUAUAAACCCUAAACUUUAACGAAAUGAGUUAGCGCCGCCGACGUUAGAGUUUAGGUUUACAGUUUAGAAUUCAGUGUUUAGAAUUUUGUUAACGAUCGACGUUAAUGUCAGCAUUUUUUUAAUUAAUUCUACAUGGUACUUUGAUUGGUGAUAAGAGAUGAGAUAAAUUUGACAGUUUAUUACAAGGGUGAACCCAACCCUAACCAUCAGUUUCGAGAAAUUUUUCCAUUUUGAUUUCAGACGAAGUUAUAUUUUCCCUUAACAAACGUGUGUGUGUGUGUUUUUGUUGGAAAAAUAAAAAAGUAGCAUCUAAUCUAUUAAUUUAGGGUCCUAAUUUUUAUCUACUAUUUAAAAGUCUUAGCAUGACCAUUUGAUUAAUUAUUUAAUAUGACAUAAUAAUUAUUCCUAGUCUAACAAAUCUGUUGAAAAAAUAUAUAUUUAAAUUUUAUUUUUAAUUAUAACAAAUUUGAUGAGAAAAUAUCUACCCAAAUCUUAUUAAAAGUUUUAAGUAUUUUUUAAAAUCAUACAAUAAUUAAUUUUGUAAUUAGUAAUAUAAUAUGAUUAUACAUUACUAUUAAUUAUUUUUUUAUUAUAAAACAAAAAAAUAAAAUUAUUUCCUAUUUUUAUAAAUUUUAUAAUGUAUUAUAUAAAAUAGAAGUACUAUAUGAAUAAAUAAAUAAAACUAUAUAAAAUUGGUAAAUUAAACUAUUUUAUUUUAAAAUUCUUUCAUUUAAAUAAAUAAAAUAAACUAUCAUUUCUUUCAUUUAAAUAAAUAAAAUAAACUAUUAUUCACCGUUAAAAAGGGUUAAAAUUCAUAAAGUAUGUAUAUUUUAUACAAAGAAUAUUAUCAUAUGUUAAACUUUUAUAUCUACAACUAUAUAUUAUUUAAUUAAUUUGAAACUCACAACAAUAUAUUAUCUAAAAUGAUUAUAUACAAAAUAUAAUAGUCAUAGCAAACUUUUAGUUCAUGCGUUAUUUACAAAAUAGGAUAUCAGAAAAAAAUAAUAAUUCAAAAGAUAUUAAUCAAAAGUCUAUUUUAACUACAAAUUUAUUGAGAGUGGUCUUUUUUAUAUAUUUUAUGUUGUGGCACCUACUGAUAUCUCUAUGUUUUUCAUUACAAGUAUGGUUUAUUGCGUGUUUUUUUAUCAUUCCACAAUGGUGUCUAAAACAAAGUAAAAAAUAUAAAACAAAUGAUUAUAUAUUAAUAAUGAUGAAUAAAAAACCUAAACAAUAUAAUUAUAUACUUACACAAUAUAUAACACUAAAAAAUCAUAUAUUUAAAAUGUUUAUGAUAAUGUUAAAUGUAUACAUUUAUAAAAUAAAAAUAUAUCCGCACGAACGUGCAGGUCAAAUUCUAGUUUUGGAUAAACGGCAGCUGUUUACGGUUUUAGCAUUACCGAUAUAACUGUUAAGAUUAGGAAUCCGAUCUUAGUAGAUAAAAAGGUUUUUAUAAAGGUAAAAAAAAUAUCAGAUUUCUUAAGCUGUAAAGAUACAAAUCUAAGAAAUUGUAAAAUAUUCAUUCAUACAAUCAAUAUAUGUACAAACCAUAAACCAAAUAUUUAGCAACUGAGUUUCUCUCUAGUUCUUUUGAUUUCGACGAGAUUGUUUUACCUUUGUUCUCAACAUUUUACUAGCCUUAACAUUUUUCUUUAGCUUUGUAGUUGAAAAGUUUAAAAGACAUAUGUUGAUAUUGAAUGACUCUUUCAUUACACUCCCCUUAAAAUUUAAAAUUCAAAUAGCAUUAUUCAAACAAUCACCUUACAAUUACAUAAAGUUUUCUUUUUAACUUAGAUCAAUAACAAAAAAUAAAUCCUUCUUAAUCCAUGUUUCCCCAAUCGUAAAACAUCAGAAGAACCUAGAUCUUGAGAUCUCACCAUUUUUCACUGUAUCAAAAGAAACACAAAGAGAUCAAGCCAAGAGAGAAGUCUUUUUCUGUGGAGCAGGACACUUGAAGUCACGAGGUGGAGUCUUGCCACAGUCGACGAGAAGCUCAAGAGCAAUGGGAAUAAUGAGGUCGAUGUUGAGAAGCUUGGCUCCAAUGGUGGUGCAAAGACAGACCGCUGCGUCAAGACCCACUAAACCGCCAAGAACUGGGCAACAAGUUGCCUUUGCAUAGCUUUUUCCUAGUCCGAUGUGAAUCAAGCCGCCAAGCACGUCCACACACGCGCCUAGCUUCAGUGCGUCGAUGGAGCACGUCUCCGGUUCAGGCGUUAGUGCCGGAGGUGGAGGAGGACACGGAAUUGGUGGAGGUGGCGGUGGCGGACAUGGCGUCUCUGGGGUUGGAGUUGGCGGUGGAGGAGAAGGCGUAGGAGAUGGAGUGUACGGAGGUGGUGGCUUGACGGUGGGCGGUUUUGGAGUGUAAGGUGGAGGGGAUGGAGUGUACGGAGCUGGAGGCUUGACGGUGGGCGGCUUUGGGGUGUGAUGAGGUGGCUUGACGGUGGGUGGUUUGGGAGUGUGAGGAGGUAGUUUUGGGGUGUGAUGAGGUGGCUUAACGGUGGGUGGUUUUGGAGUGUGAUGAGGUGGUUUUGGAGUGUGAUGAGGUGGUUUGACGGCGGGUGGUUUUGGAGUGUGUUGUGGUGGCUUGACAGUGGGUGGUUUAGGCGGUUUAACGGGAUGUUUGGGAGGUUUAACGGGGUGUGGAGAUGAUUUUGGAGGGUCACUGCAG
rnacentral:lncRNA from 1 species